rnacentral:lncRNA from 1 species
GUCUUCUUUGGAUCCUUUUAUUACCAAAACACAAAUUAAAAGUGAAAGCAAGUAAAUUUUUAGAGAGUUGUGUGUAGCUUAUCUAAUGGACGGUUGGAUGAUGAUGUUGAUAGUGAGAGGUGGGGCCCAACCAAAAAAGAAAAAAGAAUUUUCUAGAGUUAUUGGAGUUAUAUAUACAUGGGUAAAAAUUGACAUGUAUAUAAUAUCAAAUUAUUGUUUGAUUACAUGAUAUUUAUCGAUCAAAAGAUAAUUGAGUCAUCAAAGUAUGAAUGAUGUGACCAUACUAUAUAUGCAAGACACCUCACAUAUUAUCAAGACUAAUCCAAUAUUUAGAUGAAUAUGAGUUCAAUUCAUCACGUAAAUUAAGAUUAAUAUAAUAAACGUUUAGAUAAUAUUUUGAAAGAAGCAAAUAAAUAUGUAGAUUUUUUAACAAAUGAAGUACAUAAACAUAAAGAAGAUAUCGUAAUCAAUGAAGCUCCGCUCAAGAAAAUGGAGUUAAAGGUAUGUUUUGCUAGAUGUAAGAAAAUAAAUAAAUAAUUGAAGUGAUAAUAAUUAAUUAAAUCGAAGAAAUUAUUAGAAACACUCUAAGCCAUAAUGGAAUAUUGCAUUAGUUUUGACUUUUGAGUUAGUGAUUGGUUUGUAUUUAUGGGUUUGGUUACAAUCCAAUUAAUAAAUUAUAAUUAAAUCAAUAGCAUUAGCCUCGUGUUUAAAUUAAUCAGGCUUUAAACAUAAUAAUGAGAUAAUAUUGCAAUUAAAAAUUAAAAAUAAAAGAUACUGUAUAUCACUAUUUUAAGAUAACAAUAAUGAUAAUAUAUUCUCGUAUAAUUUUACAAAUUAAAUAUGAGAAGAUAUAUCUUUAUGAAAUAUGAAAAUCAAUUUCGAUAGACCAUCUACUUGAAAUAAAGAGAUAUUUAGUGAAUGACACGAAUGAAAAUGCUUUGUAUCAAAAUUCCAUUAAACUUGAGUUUUUCACUAUUAGCAUAUGGUCUAUGUUUAAGAUGAAGAAAAUAUUAUCAAAUUCACUCAUAAUAAUAAUAAUAAUAAUAAGUAAAUUUAUGUGAAAUGCUUUGGAUAUCUAACUUGCUAUAUACAAUAAAAUACAAUAAUUAUUUAGUCUUUAUAUACACAAAUCAAUUACUAUAAUAUAGUUCAAUCAUUUCCACAAAUGAUUUUGACAUUUUAUAAAAACAAAAAUGAAUGAAAUAUUAAUGCUAACAUGGCACAUGUUGAACUUAGCUAUCAUUGAAAAAUUAAGGUCCAAUUUGCGAACUUUUCUUUGAUUCUUGACACAUGUCAUGCUGGAUUUGAAGAAAUAGAAAUGAAAGUCUAAUUCCGCUAGAGAAAGUUGAAUAUGAAUUAAACCAAAGAGGAGUUUUUGACUCAAAAAGUAGUGGCAGGAAAGGAAGCAGCACACCAGGAGUGAAGACGAAACAAGAUUUCAGUGAUUCCGUCUUCUAUUAAUUCUUUAUUCAAAUUCAAUUCCAACAAAUAAACAGAUUUCUAAACUUGUUGGAUUUUUUCAUCAGAUAUUUCAACUACGUCAUUUUCUACUAAAUAUUGAAUCCUCAUAAUCCGUUCCCUUUAAACAAACACCGUUGUCUAAUGUAGAACCAGAUUUAUGAUGAGUAUUGAUAGAGGAUACGUAUUUUGUUCCACAACUCAUUAGUCCAAUUGAUAGUGAAAAUGUUCGAGAAUAAUUGUGUUUUACUUAAGUCAUUUGAACACAAUUAGAAAAAAAUGAGACUAACACGAGUUUUCUUCAUUCCUUCAAUCAAAAUUAUUACAGUUCGAACACAAUUAAAGACAUUUAUAAUAGAAAAGCCGAUCAAAAUCAACCAAUAUUAUUUUUUUAAAAAAAAUUUGGACCAUUUCUCGAUUUGUGCGUGUCAUCCUUGCGCAUGGGCCAUGCUAAUCUUCUCUGUAUGUUCCAAUUUUAAAGGAACAAAUUAUGGGUAGUUCAAUAAUUCAAUAGAAAAUGACAUAGUUAAGACAUUCGAGAAAAAAAUUCUAACAAGUUUAGAAAUUUAUUUAUGUAAUCGACAAAAAUUAACAUCAUUUAUCACUUAGGAGACGUGAAUAUAACAAACUUAUUAUGUCGAUUUUAAUGGUUGAAGAGAAUAGAGUAUAUAUUUCAUUAUUUUUGAUAAAUUCUCGAUUAAACAAGAUAAAUAUAUAUAGAGUAAAUUGUUGUCAAUAGAUUCUGGAGAUAACAAAACAAGAAGCAAAAUUACGUAAACGUUUGAUAUUGAUAUUAGGCAUAAGCCAAUUCCAUUUCGGUUUCAGGGGUAAAAAAGGGAGGAAUUUGUUCUCACAUGUAUUUACGAGAUCAAUAACUUUGGUACAACCUCCAAAAUGGAUCAAUCCUAGCCGUUGAUUAGAUUCUAAUCAAAUCCCCACCCUUAAAACAAACACACUUUUUCACCGAAAUUGAAAAAAGAAAAGAAAGGAGAAUCAAACGAUCACCAAUUACUUAUCAACAUCUAUGCUGCUGUUCCAUCAUAAUACAGAAGUCCUCGAAGCAUACAAACCCAUCACCAUUUUUAUCCACACCUCUUAUCAUACGCCGGCACUCCUCUAACGUGCACCGUGAAUCUCCGAUCUGCCUAAACACGCUAAACAGCUCAUCCGCCGUGAUCUUCCCGUCGUGAUCGGCAUCGAAGAAAUCAAAAGCAUCUCUCAGCUCAGAAUCACACGCCGGCGGUCCAAACGCUGAGCUAAUAGCUCCGAAUUCCUGUAAACUAAUACAUCCAUCUCCGUCAACAUCAACUUCUUCAAGCAACAACAUGAGUUCCUCCUUACUCGGUGGUUCAGUCCCGACUCUGCUUAAAAUCGCUUCCAGCUCUUCCUUCCUUAUCUUACCGUCGCCGUCAGUAUCCAUCAUGUGAAACGCAUGGAUUAGCUCAGCGUAAACUACUUCCGCAGCAGAGAUUUCGUUCGGUAAGACGCUAGUUGGAGUAGAUGAUCCGGUUGGUUUUCUGAAGCCGCGAUGAGGAAGGGAAUCGGAAUCGGAGGAGGAACCGAAGGAUGAGGUUUGAGAUCUGGAAAUUGAUCGAGUUUUUUUGUAGUUGAAGAGCUUUUUGGGGAAGUUUUUGAGGAGCUUCAUAGCUAUGGAGGAUGAGAAAGUGAAAUGGAGAAUGAAAAAACAAGAAAAGAUGAGUGUAUGAGAUAGAGGAAGAAGAUGGAGAUUAAAUGGUAGAAAGCCAUGGUGAAUUUCCAGGAAACUUCGUAGUGAGAGAAAAUGAUUUGAAGAGAAUACACUGUACUUUUGGUAUAUUUGUUCAAUUAUAUUUGGACCACUAUGGCCCCUCUCUUUCGAUACGAAUUUAAAUUUAGUCUUUAGUUCAUCGAUAUCGAAUCAAAAGCCUGUAGUACUCAUUCAAUAUUUAAUAUUUGUAUUCAUCUGCAGAAUUAUAACUUAUAUACUCAAUCUAUUUGUUCGAUAUUUGAUUUAAGUGUAGAGUUACAAACUCGUAUAAUCAUUUCGAUUUACUUGAAUUAUAUAUUUUUUAAAACUACACUAUGAAAAAGGACCAAAAAUAUCGCAAUAUCAACCUUUUUAUCUUAGAUUUAUUAAUUUUCAUUAUUUUCUAAUCUUUUAUUAAUAAAUCAAAAUAUAUUUCUUAUAAUUUUAUACGUAUUAUAAGUUAUAACAUUAUGUGAUUACAAAAACUUUACAUUAAAAGAUACAUAAUUAAAUGUUCAUAAGUAUAGAAAUACUAGUUUACUAUUUAUAGAUAGAAAAUCAAGUUUACUAUUAAACUCAAUGAUGAUAUAACUAAAAAAAAUCAUAAAAUUUAUUGAAUCAAAGAAAACGGACAAUACCUAAGUCACUUUCAUUAUUUAUGUUUGUGGGACUUUAAUUUAAUCGCCAACUACUAGAAGUAUUCUGCAUUUAAAGAGUGAUAAUUAUCUCUUUUAGAAUGUGUUUGUGAAAAAAAUGAGUGGUCGAGGGAUGUUACGUGUUUAUCAUAAUUAUAAGUUAUAAUAUAAUGUUUAUUUUUCAAAUUAUGUAGAGAAAAGAAAAAAGAAUUUUAUUGAACGAAAAUUAAAGAACAUAAAAGCUUUUAGUGAAAAAGUAAUGUAAAAAGAAAAAUCAAUUAACUUAUAUAUCGGUUGAUAUUAAUAUCGAGUGUAUGAUUGGACAUAUAGGUUACAAGAUUUAAUUAAUUUGAUAGGUACUUAUGAUUGAUAAUCAAUAAGUAAAUGAUUGGACAUAAGUUAGUUUUAAUUAGGUUCAUUAAUUAUAUAUAAGAGAAUCAUCUUAUGUUUAUAUUCUAACUAUGGUUUCCUAUUCAUUCAUUGCACCAAAACUUGGUGUUGGAUUCAUUGUUGCACGCCAAGAUAGGCUAACACAUUAUUUUAGUAGCAAAAGUUACGUCCAAGUCAGAUUCUUUCUCAGUAAGAUAGUAAAAUAUAUAGCCUCGAUGAAUAUACUACUUAGCUCUAAAGAAAUAUAUGUAAUAUUCAUGACACGUGAGCAUUAAAAAGAACGAUCGAUUCACAAACUUCAGAAUUAACAUCUAUCGAAGAAAACAGUACACAACACUUUAUAGAUUAUUAAUUUGUCUCGUUUGGUCUUCACUUGUCUAAAUGCAGUUAAUAACACCAACUGACAGCCCAUUCAAACGUCUUGUAAUUAGACUUUAUGGCCAAACUGCUUCUGGACCACAAAAAUUAAAUUUAUAAUCGAAUUCCAUUAGUAAAAUCCGAAAAACAUGAUAGAUAUAUAACUUUUGAGAGGUACAUGCAUUAUUUUCAAUCGCAAAAGUAAUAAUAAUGUUACGAUAACAAUAUACUUAAUGUGAUUCUGUCGUUAUCCUAUCCCAACCUUAAGAAUUAGCUAGAGAAAUUGUUUACGAUAAAUUCUCUAUUAUUUAAAGACUUGUGACAACUGGAAAACCUCCUGGCCAGGACUCAAAAAGACUUGUCAACACACUUCAGUGGCAGACAAUUUGCACAUGCCACUCUUCCAAAUGCAGAGAAACAGGCAACUGUUUUGCCUAUACAAAAGUCACUCAGAUAGUCACCAGACACAGGAUAUUUAGACAUGUAAAAGACAAAAUUCAGCUCGAAGCGUUACCCUUGAAUAGUUCAUACAGUGUGCGGUCUAAGGUUUGAAUAUGUAUAGGCAAAAUUCUACUCGAAGCGUUACCUUUGAAUAGGUCAUACAGUGACUGAUCUAAAUUAUAGCGCAAGCGAUCGGUCAAAUAUGGUUCUCCAUAACACAAUUUAACUAGGGAUAUAAGAAACAAGAAAAAGAUUCUUUAAAAUUAGCUCAGAAUUAUCAAAGUUGUAAAUUUUCAUUGAGGACUAAAAGUACUAUGAACUAGUAGAAGAGUGAUGAUCAGUACACUAAAAAAUAACUACACAUAAAAUUAGUAACUCUUGUAUUUACAAUAUCAAUUCUGAGUGUGUUAGCUCUGACUAUAAACCAUUGAGUAUAAAAGAAUAUUUUGAGUGUUCUGUGUCCUGUGCAGAAUAAUCAAAGCUAAACGAACCUCGUUUUCUCAAUGAUCGAUAACUUGCUUGUCGAUGACUUGUUUAUCUUCCCCAUCAUCAAUGGUUGAACGAUUAUCACCAGAGUGAACGGAAUCAACUUCAUUUAUCUUGCCACUUUCUUGCUCAACAUAGUCCUCACCAUCCUCAGAUACUGAGCUAAUAUCCAUCUCCUUUUCUGGACUGUCAAGUUGCACACACUCAGCAACUGUAUCCUGCACAGAACUGUUAUUUUCUGAAUCGAGGCUUCUAUUCGAUGGGGUUACGUCUCCUUUUCUUACCACGUUGAAGACAAUACCGUUGUUAGUCCUUUCUGGCUGUAGAAGGUCACCUUCACCUACCAUAAUGCUUGAACUACCCGCGGGGACUCUAAUACUGAAGUCUCUUUGAUCAAAUUCGGUGUCUGAAGUUCUAUCUGGAGUUGAUACCCUUGGGCUCGGGGAGAACAGGUCUCUACCAGCCAUCUGAGGAACGAGAUUGUUGAGGUCAAUAGUCAAUCCUUUGUUCAAUCGUGAACCAAUCUCCAAGUUCUGGACAAAGUCGAUAAACUUAUCAGCAGAUGUUGUCCUCAUCAGAGGACCACCAGAUCUUGUCCAAGAGUUAAGGUCCACAUUUUCGGACUCGCUGUCACUGCCAUCAUGUGCGCUCCGGUGUGUUCGCCAAUUUCUGGUGGUAUGUGCGCCGGAACCACUGCCUCCUUGAUGAUGUGAAGCAGCAACAUCCGCAAGAAAGUCUUCAAGGGAACCUGUUGAAUUCUCUCGUGCAAUGCAGUUCCAAGAAGGAAUUCUUCUGGAAGCAUUAAAUCUGACAGUGCUUGACAAGCCGUGAGAAGCAGCAGCCGCUCUCUCGGCACUCCUUUUCAGUCUACGCAUGUGAUUCAGAAUAGCAACACAUUCAUCAAGUGCAAGCUCAAUUCCACAGUUAGCUUUAAUGGCUGAGAGUUUUUCCCAAGUGCACCGUCUUCCUUGAUUUGCUGCCUUUUGCAGCUCCAGAGUAGAGGGGUUCUGUAUGAUUUUCGAGUACUGUAUCAUAAACAAAAAUGGAACAAAGAUCAGUGUCAAGCCAACCUGCAGUCUUCCUUGUACAACUUAUUUGAAAAUAGAGACAAAAUUUCGAACAAACUUGUCAUGAUUUACGAAACAACACUUUUUCCUUAAUUGCAAAAAGAGAAAUUGCUAGUAGUGGACAUACCUGAGCUAGAGUGGCAGGCAUCACAACAGUUACGUCACCCUCCCAAUCUUGAGCAAAAAGCUUUGCUAUUCCUCCCAAGGGAAAACCAAGUUCUAACACCUGGUGGCAUCUGUGCUUCACCUCCAUUUCAGCAAGCUGGGCAAGCUGCACGGCCAAAUACUUUAUGUUACAAUUGUUCUGCUUAAAUUCAACGCUAGGAGCAUGCAAGGAUAUGAGCCAUGAACUAGCAAUAGCAAUUCUUAGUUACGAGUUAACAACAACCAACAAGGCCUACAUAGAGCCUACACAUUUGGAGGUCUAAACCAUAGAGCUAAAACAAGUAUACAUGUGAAGAUGCGAUCAGUUGAUCUAACGGAAUAAAGGCAAUUUGGUUGGCUAGAUUUAUAUUAGAUUCAGGAUUUUUCUAUAGGUUUGACACUCAUUCCGCUACUCUAGCACCAAAAGGAUAGCAGAAGAAUAUCAACAAGUGAAUCUUGCUUUGAUUAUAUAAUUCAAAACCACUUUGAGCUGCAAACUGCUCAUUAAAUUUUCCAACAAAAGAUUGUUGCUCAGAAACUGAUCACCAGUGACUUACAAGAACCCUAUUUCUACAAAGGAGAAAAUACCAUAGAGAUGUUCACACCGCUACUUGGCGGUGCAUGUUAACUGUAAAAAUUAUUCUGCAUAUGAUUCCUUCAAAUCAAUCUCUUCAGUGACUUCGAUUGAACUAAAGAGCUUAUUUUAAAUGUUCAAACAAGUGAAGAUUCUUUAAGUUAAAUGAGGGAAUCAAAUAGCUCCUUAUCACCAUAUGGUUGAAGUCUAUGGUAUACACAUCUACCUAUAGAUACAGAAUAAUUACUUGAAACUAACUCAAUAAUCACAACAACCAAAAGCAAAGUACUCUACACUUCUGUUGCAAUGAGACAAAUACAUGUACAAGAGUUAGAUGAUGCAUUAACAGCGACCAUGGACAUCAACUGAAAGCAAAAAGACCAAGACCAUCUAUAAUAAAGACAAUAGAAGUCCAUAUGAACAUACCUUGGCAGCAAAGUUGCCUCCAUAAGCUCUUACAAACUCUUUGAUCCUCAGUAGAGGAGCGAUAUGUGGAUUCGCCUGGCUCACAAUGAAGUGAUUGACAUUGAAGAGCUCCUUUAGCUGCAUCAUUGGCAAAUCAACCUCCAAGCUACCAUCCCUCCACCGGCGAGAAGAUGCACCAGAAGUGUCAUCAGGUCCCAAAUGAAAUGGUGGAUGAUAUGGAACAAGAUCUCCACUUCUAUCCUUUGCCAUCAGUUCUUGAGCUUCGAAGAGACCAGGAAAGGCACAAGAAGCAGUCACAGCACUCCAUAUAACAAUAUGAGGUGAAGUCAAGUAAUUCAAGCAUCUAGGAGGUUCAUGUUUCCUAGGGGAGCAAACAGUAAUCCCGAGAACUCUACCAGUCAUGUCAUAGGCUUCUUGGAAAGUAAGAUUAUUCGUGAGAUUGCGUAAAAGUACCUGCAGCUGUCUGAUUUCAUGUACAGCACCCUGGGUCAUGACUCUCCUGAAAAUAGUAAAAAUUCCACCUAACUGAUCGAAAAAUUGCAAGGAGUGCCAGGAGUCUUCGAAAAAACUCUGGAGCUCAGGCCAAGAUCGAGUCGCAACUAUGGAGCACAUAAUCGAUCCGACACUUGAACCAGCAAUUAUCCGUGGCAGCAGCUUGUGUUCUACAAGCGUUUUCACCACACCAACAUGGAAAGCUCCUAGAGAGGCACCUCCACUUAAAAGCAAAGCCGUCCUACCAAAGGCAUGUCUUGUUUCAUGCAUGAAAGCAAGCUUCUCUUCCAACAGAAGCUCCUCUGAAUCAGAGUCGCAUACCAUUUUCAACUGAGUUGAAACCUCAUCAAUAUAUUCCUUAAUAAGUCUAGGCACAUGAAGCCUUCCCUUGUGAAGUUCUGAAUUGCACAUAUUACCAAGAUUCCUUACAAGGUCAGCUCUCAUACAGAAAAUGAUAUCUCUCAGAGAACCCUCUUGCCUACGAUGUCGAAGCUCUUGAAGUUUAUUUCGAACUAAUUCUUCAUCAUAAAGAUCUGCCUCAUUCAAUUUAGGUGUCUCUUUAUCCAACAUCUUAGCAGCAUGAGCCCACUCCUCAUAAGUCAAGGCAGAUCUCAUCAUAUUCCUCCAAAACUUCCUCCUAUAAGCCAUCUCAGCCUUAACUUUUACAUUAGUAUACCGCCUCAACAAGAAGGCGAGAAGCGUUACUAAUGCCAAUAUCCCUUGUGGAUUGCGAGGGUGCAACCACGAAAUCAAAGGUGUCACAUAGUACGAAAUUCCACUCUUAAACUUGUACAAGUAAUACAUCAAGAAAUGAAACAAUCGAUGCCUCAACUGCGUAAUCGACUUGCAAAACAAGACUCUAAAGGCAAUUGUUCGACCCAAUAUCGUAGAAGGUCCAAUAGCAAAGAAGUCAAUAGUAGCCUCAUUACUUAUAUCCAUCUCAAAUGGACAAAUGAACUGGUUCCAAUAGGUUGCUCAGCAAAAUGUUAAGACAAGCAAUACACAAAUACCUAAUAAUCUAAAGGCUCUAAACUUAUACCAAUUGAACAAGAUUAGCACAACAAAGGUCUGUACUAUCUCUGAAUAUCAAAGUAACACAGAAACUAACGAUACUCUGACAAAGGUUAUUCACAAGAUUCAAAGUAAUCAGAUUGAACCAGAAAUUAACAAAGCUAAGUUAAAGUUCAAGAAUAGACCUACUAGAUCAAAGAAAAUACCUCAUAUAUUAGGAAAGUCAAAGAGAUAAAUUCCCAAUCUUUUCCUGUUUCAACCUAUCCCUUUGUACAAAAUCUUGUCAAUUCAGCUCAAACACCAACAACAACUUGACAAAAGCACAAAACCCAACACACCCAGAAAUCAAGAUUCAAUCUUUUAACAUCAAGAUUCAAUUUUUAUGCAACCCCACAAACCAAAAUCAAAAGGGGUUCUAGGAAUCAACCAAAAAAACUAAAAUUUCUCAAAGCAAAACCCAGAAAAGGGAUAAGAACUCAAGAACAGGCUAAUGCUUCUUUUUCAAAAAAUACAAAGAAAAUGUGAAAAAUAAUAAAUUUAAUCGCACUGCAAUUUGGCACAGAUUGGAUUUAAUAGAAUCAUAUUGGGAUUCGAAAAAGGAAAAAAAAGUCAGAAAUUUGGAUCAGAUAACGAUUUGAGUAUAUGGUUAAUAAACUGACGUAUGAUAUGUAUCAGCUAAGGAAGUAUGGAUAGACAUGAUUGAAUAUAUUAUUUCUAAAAUUCAAUUCAAUUCUAUAAAUAUAUAAAAUAAAAUAUUAUUCAACAAUUUUCCUAUUCUGCAGAAAUUUGUAAAUCGUUUUAAUGAUUUUUUAAAAAAAUAAAAGUUUGAAUUUGUCCUUUUCUCCUUUCUCAAUAUGAAAAUUGUUUUGAUUUUGUGAGAGAUAGGAGAAAAGGGCAAAAGUAAAUGUUUUCGAGAUAUGAGGUUGUUGCUUGCAAGUAAUUUAAUGACUUUUUUUAUUUUAUUUUUUCCAAUUUUUAUUUGGUAUUCAAUAUUUAAAUUCAAAUUUGAUUAAUGAAAAUUCGUGUAGAAUAGGUUAAAUCCAAAGGUGGCGCGUUUCUAACAAGGACUCGAAAUUGAAAUUUAGAUUAAAAAGGAAUUGUCUAUUUAAUGCACCACAUCUUUAGAUUACUUUUAGGUUGGAGUAUACAUUUAUAGUUCGACUCGAUUUAAUUUCUAAUUUCUAGUACUAAAAAUCAAAAUUAAAUUAGUAUAAUAAACUUUUUUAUUUAUUUUCAGAGUAUAAAAUAAAAACACGAUAAUAAUUUGAUAUAAUGAAGUAUAAUAGAGAUAUAAAACACGUGCAUUAAAGAAAUAUUAAAAGUUUUAGAAGUAAUUAAUAAGCAAUAAUACUCAAAUAUUAUUUAUUUUUUUGGUUGUGUGUACAUAUUGAGAAAAUGACAUUUGAAAUACCUUUCAAGUAAAUCAAUUUAGAAUUAGUAUUACAACUUAAUGAUAUUAUUUGUUGCGUGUGUUCACAAUACUAUAAUUAAUAUUCUUUGUCCCUAUACUUGAAAAUGUUUAGUUCAUCAAUACACAUACAUAUACAUAUUUAGUUGUCAUAUAUAUAUAUAACUAUUUAUAUACAUUGACAGUUUACGUAUUAAAAGAAAAAAAACAGUAGCAUAACACUUGUGUGUCAUAUAUAUGCCACUAUAUAUAUGAUGAUAUGCGUAAUAUUAUAAAAUGACUUAUACAUAAGAUACAUACACACAACAAAUAUAGAUAUAUCACAUAUAUCUUGUGUAUAAGUUAAUGUAUACGUAUUGUAGAAUAAUAUAUGUGACAUAUAAUGAUUUACAUACAUUCCGACGUAUAUACAACUAUUCCACCAUCACCAGAAGAAGAAGAAGAUGAAGUCAAUGACACUAACGAGAAAGAUAAAGAGAGACUAUUUGAAAUUACAUUUUGUUAGUGAGAAUUUAAUUUUUCUCGAUCUAAUUAAGACCAAGAGAGAGAAUUGGGAAGAAUGGAAGGGAUUAGGUUUAUCAAAUUAAAAUCUAAAAUUAAGGUAUUGCUAUGUUUUGUAAACUAAUGUUAUGUUAGAUAAUAAAUUAAAAACAUUGCUAAAACGGAUAAAUCAAGGAACUUUUAGUCUUUUAUAAUCUAUUCGAAUUUAGAUCACAUCAUUUUUCCUUUUAAAAGAAAAAUUGUACAAAAUAGCAAAUAUUUAAAUCAAAAUAAAUUCUAUAGCUAUUGUUUAAAAUAUUUCCAUAUCAAAUUUUGCACAAAUUUUGCCAUUUGGUUCGGAUCCACAUCAAGCGGAAGAUUUAUUUUUAUCCAAAUUCAUUCCCUAUCUUUUCUCUCCCAUUUUCUUUCAGUUAUCCCUAAAAUUUCUUCCCAAAUCAAUUAUUUUUAAUUGGUUGUGGCCCACCUUCUAUUUUUAUACAAAUAUGUUAGCUAUAUUUUUAAUAGCAAUAUAUUACCCCUCCCUCCAAAUUAUGUAUUUAUUUACUUACUCUAAAUAAGGAUUAUUUUAUAUAUUCCAAUUUUCUUAAAUAUAUUAAAGUUAUUAUUUUUUCUAAUAGAAGAAAAAAGAUACUGUCGGUGCCGACUUCGUUGUUAUAGUGACCUUCCAACUAGAAUUCCCAAAUACCCUUGAAAAUAUUUAUUGAUAAUUUAAAUCUUUUGAACUAUUAUAUUUGAAAUUUCAAAGUUUUUAAAUUCCAAAUUUUUUUAUUUUAAUAAGGUUUAUCUAAUUGAUAUACAUUUUAAAAAUGAUUUGAGUAGUGUAACUUUUUUUUUCAUGGUGUAAAAAAAGCCUUUGCUUAAUUAUUAAGAUUUCAAGUAUUUCAGUAAUAUAUUAAAUAUAAUUUUAUGAAUAAAAUUUAAAUAUGAUAAUAUAGACGCAAAUCUUAUUAAUUAUCUUUAAAUCUGUGCAAGUAAAUAAAAAAUUAAAAGACUAAUCACUAUGACCCAACAUCUAAAUUUGUAAUCUAUUAUCAUUUUUAAACACACUAACAAGAUAACCUAACUUUCUUGUCAACUAGUCAACUACUACCUUAUAAUAUAAAUUAUGGAAUAUAAUCACUACCAUUCAUGUAAUAUUAAAUGAAAAAAGUCAAAUCUUGGAGAGGCAAAUAGCAUUGGACGAAGACUAUAUUAACUCAUCAGAUUAUCGAAUUUGAGUCAUGAGGAUAAAGAACCUGUUGGAAGUUGGAACUUGGAAGUGAAACGUUUAGUCCAGUUAACGGACCCAUGUGACACAUAUUUAAAUUCGUUAAGCUAGUGAAUUUCGAAUAAAGUACUAGCUCAAAACUUUGACAUCUAGAUGGGACAAAACACCAUUAAGAAACCAAACAAGCUUAGGUUCUUUCCUUGCCUUUUUCAUUGCUCAAUCAACAAAACACCCCAAAACAAGAUAAACCAACAAGUCCAAUUUCAAAAGCCAUCACCAAGAAUAGACUAAUAAAGAUUGAAAAACAUCAUAUUUUUUAUGCAAAAUGAUAACAAAUUUUGGCAACACAAAGUCACCUUGGAGAAGAUCAAAAUCAAGAAUCAAGCAGGUAUCUCCUUCUGAUUAUGCAGCAACCCCUCAACAUCCAUCUUCACUUGAAGUAUCCGAAUUGUCGUCUCAUUGUAUGAAGGCAACAAGUUGUUCUAAAGGGAAACAAGGUCAUACUCUUGAUCAUAGUCCAUCUAGUAGAAAAUCGUCGAGUUCUAAGUCAACUUGUUCAUCCACACUCAAGGAUUCAAAGUUCCCUCAACAAGUUGAACUUCAUCCUGGACUAAAUGAAUCAGACAGGAUUUCAAAAGUGAAAGUUUGUUCAUACCAUCAUUGUUCACUCAAUAAACACUCUGAUGAUGAUCCGUCUCCACCAGUAAAACGCGUAUAUAGAAGAAGAAGACUGUUAAAACCACAGAAAAGUAGGAGACUAGAAAGUGAGUCAACAAAUGCAGAUCAGUUUUCUAUUGAGAAAAGCAACCUUAAACAAGAUGUUGGAGUUUUCGGAGUAAAUGAGCCUAAUGUUGAGAGUGUGUUUGGUGAAGAGAGAAGUUAUCAAGAGACGAUCGAUAUAAUGAGGAAAUAUUCUACACAAGAGCAGGAUACACUGGUUAGUUCUGACGUAGAAUCAAAUGAUCAGAGUGUAACAACAUCAGUUUUCCGCGAUAUAGAGGACAUAGAAGCUGAUUUCUGUCAUGCGGUUCUGAUAAAGCCGGUUGACAAUGUCGUUACCACGGGUGAGGAGGUUGAGGAUAUCAACAGAGAACUGCAUGAGAAUGAAACAUCGUUGAUAUAUGAUCUCGUUGAAGCAAAAUGUAGCACUGAGGUUUCCUCUGCUUUAGCUAGCAACGAUACAAUGGAACUCGUAGACAAUUUGCAAGAGACGGAUGACAAAGCUAAUCCAACUGAAGAUGUUGAUCCCAAUGCCUCGUCCAAGAAGGUACACGUAGCCCAGCUUCCGAAAGAGAAGCUCAGGAGCAUGUGGAGCCUGAUUCACAGACAUAUGAUAUCGGAGGAAUCUACAGAAUUGGAAAGCAAAGUGAUCCGUGGAACUGAUGAAGAUAAUCACAAGGAUGGGAGCAACAAGUCUUGUGCAGCAGAAAGCUCUAAUUCAUUUUUGAGUUGUUCCGAAAGAGAGUCAAUGACUACAAAUCAGGAUGCAAAUAACGAAGAGAUUGAAGCGCCCAAGAUUUUGGCAGUUAAGCUAGUACGAGAAGCAAUCGAGAGAAUUCUUCUUCCAGAAGUUCAAGAUCACUCAUCAGAUGAUCAAUUAGUAACAAGUGAAGGUAAGACAUGAAUACUUCUACAUGUGAUUGUUUACUCUCCUCUCCUUAAAAGUAAAAACUUUCUGCUAAGUAUUGACAUAAGCAUUCAUUAUACAACAGUGUGUAACGAAGAGAACUCCAACGAGUCAGACACCAAGAAUGAGGAAUGUGAUAAGGCGGAUGAGGGAAUUGUAAUCAGAGAAAACAUUGACAGCCCUCAUGAGAUACAGGAAAACGAAGAACGAGUCAUGAACAAAGCUGAGAAGAAAGCACCAACGCACUGGAGCAAUCUUAAAAGAUGGAUUAUUCUCCAACGAUUCAUCAAAGAAUUGGAAAAGUUGAGAAAAUUCAAUCCAAGGAAGCCACGGUAUCUGCAGCUGGAGCCUGAUCCUGAAGCAGAAAAGGUUAAUCUGAAACAUCAGAUGGAGGAUGAGAGAAAAAGUGCAGAAGAAUGGAUGCUUGACUAUGCUCUACAGAAGGCGAUAAGUCAGCUUGCUCCGACUCAGAAAAGAAAAGUAGGACUACUUGUAACAGCUUUUGAAAAUGUGGUUCCUCCUCGAAGCAGUAAUAUCCAGGUUACAUUUCCUAAAUUGGAAACUAGAAAUGAAGACAAUAUGCAAACUGCAGGCAAGGGAAAGGCAUCAGUCUCCAAUGCAGAUAAUGUUCGUGAACACGUAGACAAAAGGGAUGCAGAAGAUGACAGUUCGAUGUUAAAAAAUGAUGAUACUCAAAAGGCCAUUGUCCUCUGCCAGAAGCUGAAUGAAGUAGCAAGCACUUCGAGUGACAAGGGAUCGGUUGAAAUAGUGGAGUUUGGUGAUUCAAAUGAUGAUUCUCAAAGAGGAACAUCUUCUACUAUCUCAAACUUAGGCAACGACGGUGAUGAAACACAGGAAAAUAACAUAAAUCUCUCUGAAUGUGAGGCCAUGGAGAGUAGUACUCUAUCCAGUGAUGAGAACGAAAAGAUAACAGAAGCAGAAGACGAAGACGAAACAUACAGAAAACAGGUCAACAAACAGAAGCACAUCAGCAUGUGGCAUUUGGUAUCGCAGCACAUACUUUCAGACGUUGUAUCAAAAAUAGGGAAUGAACAACUCGAUGAGGUAAACUACAACAAAACACUAGCUGAAACGAAUAUGGACAACUCCCUUCACGAUUUCUCUGAAGAAAAAGAUGAUAUGAGCCACAAUGGCAGAAGUUUCAGCAGAAAUGAUGCUGUCAAUCUCAUAAAAGAAGCUGUUAGCCAGAUACUAACAACGCCAAUUCAAGAUGAUUCAUCCAAUACACAGAGUGUCACUAGUGACAUACUUCCAGAUGAGGAGCCACCAAAAACUGAUCAUACAGAUUGCGGAGAGCAAAAUAGUACAAAUUCACUCAACGAAAGCUUGAGACAUCGUGACAGUCCAUUAGAAACAACGGAACUUGUUGCUAAUAAUCCUAUCACCGAGAGUAAAUUUGAGCCACCAAAGUCCAAGAGCUGGAGCAAGCUGAAGAAAUUGAUCCUCCUUAAGAGAUCAAUAAAGGUAUUGGAAAGAGCUCGAAAAGUCAAUCCACAACCCCCUCAACUUUUGCCCCCUACACCUGAUCAAGAACAAGAAAAAGUGGAUUUGAGGAACCAAAUGUCAAAUGAGAGGAAAAAAGCUGAACAAUGGAUGCUCGAUAAUGCAGUGCAGCGCAUGGUCAGUAAGCUAACUCCUGCACGGAAAACAAGAGUGGCGAUGCUUGUGGAAGCUUUCGAAGCAGUUGUUCCACUCCCAGAAGUAUGAAUUCAACUGGAGUGGACUAAACUUUAGUCAAGAAAAUUCCUUGAGAACCUUUUUACGCGAAAUGUAAAGGUAAGCAAAUUAACUACCUACACUUCCUAGAAAUAGCUAAAGGUAACUCAUUAAUAGAGGAUCUUUUUUGCUUUCCCUUUUCAUUGUGUUCCUUGAAUAAGAGCUUGGAGGGGUAACAUUUGAGGGAUCGAAACGAGCUUAUGCACUCGUUUGAUUCUUCUACUCCACAGCGAGGACGCAGACAAGAGUUUGCACCUAUCAUUAGAGGCUAACUGAGGAUGAAAGAACAGUCUUUUUAUCAUGAUAUGUGAUCAAAAAAUCGACUAUUGUACAGAUAAAUAAAACGUAAUUUCGGAAGCUUGAUCAUUCCUUCAGCACAACCAUAUGAUUUUUGUUUUUGGAUUAAUGAAUGGAAGAAACUUUGACUCAUGAGAGUAUAUGAAUCAAUGAAAAUGUUAUCUGAUGCACAAUUUCCUACCUGUUUAUAUUCACCUUAUUAAUUCAUCAUCAAAUAGAACAAGCUAGAAUGAUCAUCUACUAACUAUAUUUCUCCCACAUCGUUUGUAUAUAGAGACUUUUGUGACUUCAUAUAUGAGAAACAAGACUGAUGCAUUCGCCGAGCUUUGUAACGUGGGCUUGUAACCCGAGUGGGGGCAACAAUGUGGUGGAAUGUUGGGUCCAUCUUGAUGGAUGGGCUUGAAGGGCUAAUGUUCUGGCCUGCCCUGUCCAAGCACAGAGUUGGGUCAAGUGGUCUAUACGAAAGUAUAGGCCACUUGGCCUUUAGAGUGGGAUGGACUGCGUGAGGCUGGUUUCACAGAGCAACGACUAGUCCCCGCUCUGUGCAGUGGAAGGAUCACGGGCUAGUGCUCUUUGAGUCCUAACAAAAACCUGAUAGGUUGCCUAAUUAAACCAUCACUUUUUUUGGGCCCUAAAUCUUGCAUAUUAUGUCUAUGUUGGUAUUUAUAUAAAAUCAUGUCAACUUACUAUACAUUAAAAGUAAUUUAAUAAGGAGAAAUUUGUAAUAAGUUAGCUCGUUUUGGCAAUCUAUUUGAAAUCGCAAGUACUAAUAGUGAUAAAGUAAUUAAUGUUAAGUACGUAACUAUAUAUAAAUACGAUUGCACUUUUUGUGAUCUCUUUUGUUCUAUAGUUUUGGUAAAUUCAAAUUUGAUUCAAGGCUCUUUUGAUCUACAAUCAAUCUCUUUAGCCGCGAGAAGAUUUGGGUCUGUCAAAAAAAACUAACACUUUUUCCAACGUUUCUACCGUAAGAUGGGAAGUCCUCCAUUAAAAAAAGCAGUCAAGCGAUGAAAUUGCGAAAUAGAAUAGUUUCCACUUUCUUGUAGCACCUUCUGUAUAAAAUCGUUAAAUGUCUAAUGAAAUAAUGUCACAGAUCUAGACUUGAUUGAGUUUUUAGUUUUUCAAAGUUUUAUUUACGCUAAUGUUAGGUAGACAUUGUGUCAUAUUCUCCCACAUCGUUUCUGAACAAUGACUUAUUUGUGUUUAUAUUUUAGAUAACAAGACUCAACAUCGCCGAGCCUUGUAAGUGGUGGAAUGUUAGACUGACACUGACGGCUGGGCUUGGAGGGCUAAUCUUUGGCUUGCGAAGGUAUAGGUUGCUUGGCCUUUAGAGUGGGAUGGACUGCGUGAGGUUGGUUUCACAGAGCAACGAAUAGUCCCCGCUUUGUGCAGUGGAAGGAUAACGAGCCGGUGCUUUUCAAGUUCAAUAAACACUUGAUGUGCUGUCUAUUUAAACCACCAUUUUUUUUGUUCACCCUAAUCAAAGGGUCUCGUGUUUGUGUUUGAUUCCUGGAUAUGGAAAGCGAUUCCUCCUUAAUGAGAUCCUACAGCUCUGUCAGUGGAAGGAUAACGAGCCGGUGCUUUCCAAGUUCAAUAAACACUGAUGUGCUGUCUAAUUAAACCACCAUUUUUUUGUUCCUCCUUAGUCAAAGGGUCUCGUGUUUGAUUCCUGGAUAUGAAAAGCUUGUGGAAGCUUUCGAAGCAGUUGGCCAAUAGGCAGCCUUGGUCUUAGUCUAGUUCAUUUUUGUUUUUUGUUCUUUCAUCAUUUCAAACUGUGUGUCAAAUGAGGUAUGAUGAAGUAUUCAGGAUAAUUUCACUGGUCAUAUUUAGAGGCGGAUCAAAGAUUUAAAUUUAAUAGGUUCGACAUUUAAGAUUCUUAAUAUUAAAUUCAUUACACUGCUAAAUUAUGAGUUCAGAUGUAAUAUGUCUUUGAUGUUUUACUCUCUGCCGGAAGCUAUACCCACUCACCCUGGUUACACUUCCAGCACUUGUACAAUUAAAUAUCUGCCACCGAAAAGGACAACAACAACAAUCCUGUAUAAUCUCACCAGUGGAGUUCGGAGAAAGUGAAAUGUAUGUACACCUUACUAAGCUUGUAUGGGGUUAGAGAUGUUAUUUCCGAUGAACGCUUGAAGAAAAAGGAAUCCAACAUUAGAGUGGGGUCAAAUGAUUUAUACGAAGGUAUUGGUUGCUUGUCUCUUUAGAGUUGGGCAGACUGCGUGAGGCUGAUUUCACAGAGCAACGAAUAGUAUCUACUCUAUGCAGUGGAAGGACAACGAGUCAGAGCUUUUCAAGUUCAAAAAACACCUGAUGGGCUGUCUAAUUAAACCACCACUUUUUGUUUACUUCAGCCCUUUUUACCAUCCAAUUCAAUUUCAUUUUUUUUUCCAUUGUUGCUCAAUUCUCAAGUAAAUGCAAAUAAUCUAUUUUUGGGCAAAUGCUUGUGUAAAAUUGAUGUAUAAUGAUAGGUGAAUUUUCUAUACAUAUGAGUUAUCUAAAUGUGUAAAAAGAUAUUUUAAACUGACAAUGUAUAUUUGAAUUAUUACAUGAAAUGAAUGAAAAAUGUAGUAUAGUGGAUGAGAUUGCUCCUUAAUCAAAGGUCUCGUGUUCGAGCUUUGGUUAUAUAAGUAUCCUUGAUAGAGAGCGCUUUCCUCCAAAUGAGGUCAUAUGUGGUGCUAAUUAGUUGAGCUUCAAUGUGUAUAUCGAAUAAAAAAUAAAAAAAUAAUAUCAAUUAGUCUUUCUACUUAAAAAUGUGUCAUAUAAUGGUUGGAGCAACGACUUCCACAUGAAUUAUUUCAUACAAUAAUACAAGUUGAAUGGUUGAUAAUGAUUUUGGGCCAAUGUAUGUGUGUUUUCAUUGACUAUUUUGUGGUGAUAAGUAGUUGGAACUUUCAUAUUGUGGCCAACUUUUCACGUUACUAGUGUAUAUUUUAUUCCACUUAUCUCUUCUAAUAAAAGCAUGCAAUAAUGCAAAUUAAAUAAUGGAGUAAAUUAAUUGACCACAUUCAUUAAAUUGCUACACUUUCAAAAUUGUUGUUCUUCUCUUAAUUAUUUAGAUCUCUAAUUUGUUAACGAGCUAUUAGAAUAAGACUAAAUAAUUUACUCGAAUAAUUAUUGUUAACUAAGAUGGUUUGUGUUGUGAAGAAGAGAUGCAUAUGUUUUGAUAAGUAAGAUCGGCUAUGAUGGAUCUAAGGAGAGAUAUAGAUAGAUCGAGAAUAUAUUAGGAAAAAGUGAUUAGGCGGCAGGACAUGAUACAUCUUUACGUUACAAAUGACGUGACUCUAGAUAGAAAGGUAUACAAAUCGAGAAUUAGGUAAAAGUUUUGAAGAUAGUAAAUACGUGUUGUGUUGCUUUUCUUUGGAAAAGGCAUGGUAAUAGUCGUUCGGAACACCUUACUUGCUCCUUCUUUUCCACAUCAAUAUUAUUAUUAUUUUGUUCAUAUUGUUAUUGUUCUUUUCUCGUUAACAUGACCUCUUCAUUACUGUAUUUUCUUUCAAAAUUGCUUUGAAAUAUUUUACUCAAACUAGAAGUUAAAGCCUACAUACUUAUCACUCUUCCCAAUAAAAUUACACUAAAGAUAUUAUUAUAUUAUUUUUUUUAUAAACCAGACUAAAAUAAUACAUUAUUUGACAUUUUUACCUUUUUUAAAAAAUAAUUCUAAUUCUAUUUUUGAUGUAGACAAUUAUCAAGAUUUAUUUGGCCAGCAAAAGAACAAUAUUGUUUAGUGGAAAGAGAAUCUUUUAUUUUGGUCCAAACACGAAUAUACAAAAUUUAUUUAUUAUAUAUUAGCUCUUAUAAUAAACCAAAGGUCGUUUAAAGUAUCUCUCAAAGAAUAUGAUAUUAAUAAUCCCACUAACCACAUGCCUAAUGAAAUCACUCUCAAUAAUUCUUUUAUAAUAAACAUCAUUUGUUUAAUUAAUUUUUCGAUCGUAAUACUGAAAUAUUAUAAUUUAUUGAGAUGAUGAUAUAAAAACUCAGGUGAUAUAUCAAAGUGGUCGGCAUAGAUACUACUCCUAUAAUAAAUUUAUAAUUAACAAUAAUUAGGUAAAUUAAUUUUAUUUAGUUUUUUGUGAAAGAAAAAAAAACUGUUUUAGGCCUCAUCCACUGUUACAAAAACAAUCUUUAGCGACAUUAAAUAUUGACAUUAAUAAAGAGUAUUUAAGUCUUUAUCGGUAUUAGUUAAAUGUCAUUAAAAUCAAUGUCGCUAAAGACUUUAGAGACAUAUGCAAAGAGUGUCAAUUAUCGCUAAAAAUAUAUAUUUAGCGACAAUUAAGAAUUAAUUGCCAAUAAUAAUCAUUUUUGUUAUAGUAAUCUUUAGGGAUUGGCAACCUCAUAAGAUAAUAUUAUAUUACGUUAAUAUUAUUUGCAUUAUUCGUAAAGAUUGAUGAGUUGAUCCAUAUGGUUGAUUACAUCUCAUAAAUAAGAUCAAAGGAAAUAGAUUGAUUUCUCUAAUCAAUGUCAUUUUAGUCGGAUUUGUUAUAUCAUACUUUUUAAGUGAAAUUUUUAUCAUUCUGUGUGGCUUACAAAUUUUUUUAAGAAAACAAGUUUACUCAGUAUAUAUGAGUUUUCUUUGCGAUUUUAAAAAAAUUAUUUAUAUUUUAAAGUAUUUUACACAGGAAUAAAUAAAGAUUUGAUAUUAGAUAGACAUCUUCUUUUCUAAAAAAUUCAUUAAAUAUUUUUAAUAAAUUCAAUUCAAUAAAAAAAUUAUUGUUAAUAUUUUAAAAGGGAGUUAGUACUUUGACAUAUAUUGUUUACGGAUGGUGUCACAAAUAAAGUCAAAUAAACUCAUGAAUUGGACUAGUGGAGUAUUUAUUUCAACAAAAGCAAAUUCGAAUAUUUCCUCUUUCAUACAAGUAGGUAGAUCAAUGGUACAACCUACCAAGGUGUGAGACGAACUGACUUCUUAAUUUUUAAUCAGAUGUUAUAUAUAUAAAUUGUAAAAGUGAAAAAUAAUAAUUAAUAAGAGUGUUUUUCUCGUAAACAACUUUUGUACACGGCAAAUUUAAAUUUUUUCGUUGAUUUAUUUAAAUAUUUUCUCAAUAAAUCAUCAUUUAGAUUUUAUCUCUAUCUUAAAGAUACGUAAAUUAUAUCUGUUUAAACUCAUUAAGUGUUAGGUUUAGUGUGUCUACAAGUUCUAAGCUUUGAUCCAAUAUUAUCUCAUAUAAUUUUCGAUUUGCUCAAAACAUAUUUUAAUACCGUUACUAAAACGGUUCAUAAUUUAUAUAAAAAAAGAAAAGAUAACGGUCGAAUAUUUUACAAAUUAACGUAUUAAUAAAAUUUAAAUACCAGAUAAUUACUGUUGACACCCAAUUUUGACCCACGUCGGUAGAAAUUAAUUAUCGAGCUUCCUAAAUUUUCCAAAUAAUUCAGAUUAAUUAGUUUUAUAAUUUUGCAAAAAAUAUAACGAUUUAACGUUUACAUAGUGGUGUAUAUAGCCGGUAUAUCUUGUGUAUAUUCUAAACCAACCCAACUUCCCCCCAUCAGCCCACACCCCUCCUCUUCCAAGCCAGGCCCAAGUUCCCUUCAGGCCCAAACGUUCCCAAUUCUCCCACUUCUCUUCCUAAAAUCGGCCCAACACCCAAAAUUCCCCUCAACCCAACCCAAUUCAAACCCAACAUUCCCCUCAACCCAACCCAAUUCAAACCCAACCACCCAAAAACCACCCAAAAACCCGACCCAACACCUGACCCAACCCCAAUAACCCGUUUCCCCCCCCCCCCCCUUUCUUCUUCAGCCCCAUUCAAUCAACAGAAACCCAGAACAACAAACGAAACCCGGAAAACCCCCGCGUCUUCCCCACGCUCUCUCGCUCUCUCCCUCAUCUCCCCACGCUCUCGUCUCCCUCACGCGUCUCUUCCCCUACGCAACACAGCCAAUAAUUCCCAGAAAGAAACGCGACAAACUCCCCUGAAAUCGCGCGAUUCUCAGAUCGAAAAUCCCCAGAAAACAGACGCGACCUCUCCUCAUCGCGUCUCUCCCUCACGUCCUCUCUCCUCUCCUUCCCUCUCUCCCGCGUCUCCCCCACGCUCGCUCUCUCCUUCCCCUCUCGACAGAGACCCAUACCCUGCCGCUGUCGAGCAGGUCUGCAACACGCAAGUCGUCGCUGUCGAGUAGGUCUGCGAGGUGUCAAUUUCAUCCUCUCCAACACGCCUGGCCAUGUGGGUUUUGACCCAAAGGGAUUUCGAUUUUGAGUUCAAAAAAUGGGCGAAAAAUCGUAUCACCGACCCUACAUAAACCCCUCCCAUCUUCAUAAAAGAGGAGGGUUUUUUUUCACGAAAGAGGGGGAUUUUUUCAUCGAAAUUCGAAAAAAGUAGAACUUGGGUUGGACAUUUGGUCAAAAUUAAGGCUGAAUCUUUGGUCGAAACUUUUGGAAGCAAUUUGAGGUUGGAGAUUUCUGGACGAGAAGAAACUGUUUCGUCGAGUGUCGUUGCGACGUUCUUGUUCGAGCGAGCGAAGCAGAGGGUGAUUUCGAGUUCGUGAUGGUGGUGCUCCGCCUGCUCGCUGUCCCUGUUUCGCUGCACUUAAAGAGGUAACACCCAUCUUGACCCUCGACUCUUAGUUGUAUUUGUUGUUUGUACGUUAGUGUUUAGGUUGGUCCUAGCUGCUGUGAAUUUGUUGUAUUGCAGAAGUUGUUUGAAAUUUGUGGUUUUGUCUUGUCUUCGCUUGAUUUUGUCGCAACUUCCUGAAUUUGAUAAAGUUUUAAAGGGAAUGAACGGUGUGUUUGGGGUAUUUCGAUCCGCCGAGUCUGUUUCUGCUCGUUUCCUGCUUCUUCCUCCUGUUUGUAUUCGUACAUGAAUUAGUCUAAGGGAAUCCUUCGUUAUUCUGCUUAUAAUGAGUUGUAGAUGUUACCCGUUUGGUCGAAGUGAAAUCCAAUUUCACUUCAAACUCUUCUGUCAUCAUCUUUAUUGUUAUUUCUUCUUUUGUUUUUCUUUCACUUUGAUGUCAAACUGAUGUGAUGAUGGGUUCGACAGAAGCGAAGUAGUGCAUUGAAUGAUAAUAGUGAUGUCUUAUUUUGGAGUUUUGUCCUUUUUCUUUGUUGUUAGUUCGACAAGUCAAAUUUUAAAUUCAAAGAUUGCCAUAUACAUGCCUUGUUCUGUGAAAUUGAAAGUUCAUUGUUUGGUUGGGUAAGUAAAAUCGCCUCAAUAUAGUUAUUUACCUUGGGUCGACUCGCAUUUGUCAUUACUUUUCUCUUCUGUCGUCUCUUUCAUGUUGCGCUAGUCUGACCUUUCUUGUUACAUGUUGUCGUGUGUCUAUUGAUCCGAUUAGAUACUAUCCAUGGAUAUGCAUUUUCUAUUAAGUUAGUUUGUUUUCUUGUAUAUGUGCCCGUUGAAUCGAAUAUUAAUUCCUUUUGUUUAUUGUGUGGCAUGUAAAAUCCGUUUGAGUUCACCACGAACUCUCCUUCUCCGUAUCUCGAGAGAGUCGUAAAGACUCAUAGUCUUUUACCAAGCAAGACAACCUUAAGAGAGGCGUACAAGUCAUGAAGUUGGAAGGAGAAUCCAAAGUGGAUUAGAAGACGUUUCUUUAUUUUAUUUCCGUAUUUUAUUUUGUAAUGGGCAUAAGCCCUUGUCAUUUUCCUUUCCUUAUUCCUCUUAUAUUUUAUCUUGUAAUGUUUAGACUAGGACAGGUGGCAAAAUGGGUCGAAACACCCAAAAACAGGUGGGUCCAAAACUCGGUCAAGGUGAACAGUACCCGAGUUUGGACCCAAAAAUCUCUCUCUCUCUCUCUCCUUAUUACUUGCUUAUGUGCGUUGUUUAAAGUAUCGUUAGUGUUAGGACUAGAAAAAUCCAAAUCUCCUUCGAAACGCCUUUCUAUUUUAUCAAGCUAAAACUAAGUCUUAAAAUAUUGGACGUUUCAAAUUCACUAGUUCGUUUAGAGUUUAAAAUUUAAAAAGUUUAACUUUAAAAGAAUCUCAAAAACAAUAAGUAUUUCAACUUUUAGAUUUGUCCAAAUAAAACUCUAAUAAAGGUUCAACUUCAAAUUCGCAAAAGGUUAAAAAGUAGUCAAAUAAGUUAAUCGUCGGAAAACCGUAUUUAACGGAGUGUCUUAGGUGCCUUACACCUUCCUAAGACACUAAUAAGAAUCCCGAACCCUUAAAAAAUGUUUCAAAACAAUUGUUCUGUUUAGGUUGUUUAGAAACAAAGUUUUCUUGAUUUUUCUUAAAAAUUAAGUGGCGACUCCUAAAAGUCGAAAAACAAACUCUUUUCGAAAAUCACCCCCUUUUUUCGGUAAAACAGAAAUGGCGACUCCGCUGGGGACUUGGAGGAUUCUAACCUUAAGAUUAACGUAUUUGAUUAUUUGUGAUUAACUGUUUAAGUGUUUAAAUUAAUUAGAUUUUUUAAACUGUUGCAUACAUAGCAUACAUACUUCCGUCAAACGACACUUUUUUACAUUUUCACUAAAGGACGAUUAUGCGGGUUCGCAGUCAUUCGUUAACCAAAAAUCUUCUCGGGGCACCCUGACGAGUGUAGUUGAUUACUUGAUAGUCAACGAUCGUUAAUUGUCCCAGCCCAAGUAGUCCGCUUGGGUUACCCAUUCCACUUUAAAUAUAACCCACUCUUAGUCAAACUAGGAUAGAGCGAAACCAAAUCCCGAAAAUAGUGCAUUGGCCUAGGAUGACCCGACACCCAAGGAGUGUCGGGCCCAUUAGAAAAGUCCACCUUGAGUCCAAAGAGCCUGCGGCUCGAUAGGACGCUCAUGUUUGUUGUUUAAAUUUGAAGGAUGUAUUGCGUGUUUAACUAGUUGUUGUAUCGGGGGGAUUGAAAUUAACUAGUUGUAUGUUUUUGUAGAUGUCAAGUCAGUUCCUUCACUUCAAAAUGGUCACCCAGGCAUCCGACAUUCUUCGAAUAUGGUGGGGCAAUCUUAAGGAGUGUCAAAAGAGAGAAAUCUCGAUUUACUUGGGUCACCUACCUUCGAUAAUGGAUUUCAAGGUAUGGCCCACGUUUAUCGAGGUCAUCACCCGAUUUUGGGACGAUAAGAAGAUGGUCUUUCGAUUUGGAGAUGUCGAAAUAACACCCACACUAGAAGAGAUCAAAGAUUGCCUUGACUCGAUUGGGACGUGUGGCAAAAGGAAAAAGCGUCCCGAUCAUCACAUUCUCUUACCAGAUAGGCCAACCAAGAACGAAUUGAGAGAUAUGCUAUUCCUAGUGAAUGCAGAUUGGUUAGAGACCAACGACAUUCCGCUGAUGAGGUUUUUCGAGAGGUGGGGGCACGACAAUUAUUUUAGAUUGUUCCCGGACGAAUUUCAUGAUCACAGUACUUGGAGGCAAACUCAAGCUAUCGCUUUCUCCGCAUGCCUCUUGGGAACUAUGGUGUUCCCUAAAGACGAAGGUAAAGAGAUCGACACCCGGGUAAUAAUGGUAGUGAAUGCCAUGUUCAGAGGAGUCGGUAGAAAAUCUGAAGAAAAGAAAUAUUGCUGUUUGGCCCCAGUCAUCCUGUCCGACAUUUACCGAUCUUUGAGCCUGUGCAAGAAUGGUUUUCCGUUUUUCCAAGGUUGCAACAUCUUACUUCAAUGGUGGUUGACGGAGCAUCUAUGCAAAAGAGACAACCCCCAGCUACAGGGUUUGGCCGAACCAAGUCAAACAAGUCCUCUCGAUAAUUAUGAGUUCUACUUGAGUAUCCGUAAAUUUCCAAUUCACACCACCAGGGAUGCGUGGGCAAAGGUGUUUUACAAUUUGAAAGAAGGAGACAUACAAUGGGUAUUACCGAGCUUCAGGUCUCAGAUGAUAGCAGCACAAGGGGCCAAAUUGCCAUUUUUAGUCCUUCCCGGCAUCAGAGGAUUGCGUCCUUACAACCCGACACGAGUAAUGCGGCAAUUUGGGAAAGUCCAAAUCAUACCCGCCCAAGGAGAUGCCAGCUCUUUCAUUGUUGAUUACAACGAGAAGGACAAAAUACCUUUCGCUAAAAUUAUCCUCCAGGAAUGGGCCGGACGCGUCAACAUGAAGCGGGAGGUCACCGAAGACAGGUAUGGAGCUGGGUAUAUCGACGAAUACAAGACAUGGUUGCACAAAGAUUUGCGUGGUGUAGUGGAUCCAACACCACGCACGAGUCGGAAAAUCGAAGAUGUGGAGACAAGGCUUCAGAUUCACGCGUACCAUUUUCAGCAAGAGUGGGACCGAAGGGAGCAGGAAUUCUAUAAGAAAGAACAGGAAUUUCAACAAAAAGAGCAAGCAUACCAACUCCGGGAAUUAGAAAAUCAGAGAGUUUUGGCCGUAAUGUCACAAGAAUUAGCUGACACAAGGACUUGUCUAAUGCGUUUGGACACUGUUUUGGACGAGCAGAUGAACACCUUACAAGCCGUACCAACAUCUUCCAAAGCUGCGUUCGCUGAGCCAUACGUGUUCACCAGCAAAUGCAUUAUCCGAGAAGAAGUGGAGAAGGCCAGAAGAGGAGCUGGAUCAUCGACCUUUUAACUCCCCUGCGUGGGAUUGAUUUUAUAUGUGUAUUUGCACUACAUCCCCUUCCCAAGAUAUAUCCCGUUUAAUUUUGAUUGUGUAAUGAACGCUAUGACAUCUAGUGAAAUUUGUUUCGGGGGUACAAUUACUUAUUUAAAUGGCGCAAUACAUCCUUCAGAUCGCUAGGCCUACCCUUGGCACAAAAGGGUCACAUGCAUGUUUAGGACACGAUAUAUUUGUUUAAAUGUUUAUGUGUUAUGUUGCUUUGAUUGAGGAUAUCGUAAACCCACUCCUAGCCAAAAUCCUAAAGAGUAUACAGAAGCCAACAUUACAAUUGUCCGACCAAAAUUCCCGAGUCUCAAGUUUCUCACACAAAAUCCAUACCAUAAAUCCUAAAUACCGCUCUAUCAUCUCAGGAAAGUUGAAUCACCGCUAUGGACAAAGGCAAGAACGUCCAGACGGAGCUCACUGAGGAGGAAUUGCGAAGAAAGAUCGAGCGAGUCACUCGAGAGAUUCAGAGGGUUAAGGAGGAAGGACUCAAAGUAGACGCGACCACGGCGAUCUACAAAGCUGCGGUCACAACAUUGGAUGAAGAUCUGGCGUCACAGAUAAAGAGAAAGAAGGAGGUUGAGAUGGAAACCGAAAGCCUAAGGAAAAGGUUGAACUUGCUUCGUUUGGAGAUACACGAAGGAAAGGCGAGAGAGGCGAAGAUAGAUAUCGAGACUGCUGUGUUGUUGGACAGAAACGCGGCGCUCGACGAGGAAUUGGCGACCCAUAGCGACCCAAAGGGCGGAAAAUACCUCGCCCAUGAUCUGGGAGCAGAUAACAGUGGCCCCGACCGUGAAGUGACUGAGGAGGAUGAUGAAGAAGAAAUAGUCUACAAGCCUCCAUUUCCGACUGUCUGAAAGGAAAGGAAUGACGCAGCCACAAGACACGAAAUCUCCGAAUGUGGUCUUCUAGAAAUCUCAAUGUUGUUUUUCAAUUCCCUUGUAAUCACAACGAAAGAAUGAAUGGAAAAUUUUCAUCCUAAAAUCCGAACUACGUUGGGCCUGAAUUCUCCCCGUGAGAUACGUAGGCAGCCUUCCCGGCCCGGCCCCUAUCACAGAAAAUUUUCAUUCUCCUCCAUGUUUCGGAGAUACGAAGAUAAGAUCAACGGACGUCGCAAAGCAGCUGCAAGAAGACCAUAGCUCAACGUGAUUCAGAUUUCCCAAGAUAGCGCCAAACAAACAAAUUCCUGUUUGUUCAAAAUAUAUAUCCGUCCUUAUUCGUGGGUUAAGAUAUCCUCAAACAAAACGACUUGUGUGCUUAUCUGUUUUAUGUGCGAUAUUAUGCAUUUUGUACUCUGGAUAUGCACUAACAAAUUUGCCUUUGAGUUGUUUUUACCUCUCAGGUACCUUUUUACUGAUCUGUGUCAAUAAAGCUAGCAGAUCAUCCUUACUUCACCAGAUCGAAAGGUCCUACAGAUUCCUUCCCUCGAUCAAAUUCAGACAAAGGAAAAACAGUUAUGGGAGACAACAAUGACGAAGGGCAUCUUACUGACGUUGUGGUGGCUCAGCCCACUGUAGUGGAACAGAACGAAUUGAUCAUGCAGCUGAUGCAACAGAUUGCUGAAAUGAAAGUUGAAAUGCAACGGAGACAGGAUGCGCCUCCACCUGGAUUUGGUACUAAUAUUGCUGAUGCAAGACCUCCGGUCUACUUCCCUUCAUCAAACAUAGAUCCAACUCAGAACCAGCCUUCUACACCUGUGCAUAAUCCGUCUGUGAUUGACCUCACAACCCAAAACCCUCAAUACGCUUCUGCAUCUUACCAAACUCCUUCACCUCUUCCAAAUAACCACCCUCAAAUACCACCCCAUCCUCAGAAUACUCAAACUGCCCCACUGCCACAAAAUCAAAACCAAACUCAAACUGCCUUCAAUACCCAAGCAUUUCAUCCGCAUUUGAGUCAGAACACCAAUCCUCAGGCCUACCCACAAAACUACCAGACCGCCCAAAACAUUCCAAGUCCCUCUAUAGCUCCGCCCCUACCAAAAAGAGCCACCUUCCAAGUUCCCGUUCCUGCCGAGCACGAGGUGCACGGUUCUGAGUUGGAUCACUAUGAAGAACAGGAAAGAGAAUGGAAGGCGAAAGAAGAAGUGAAGAUCGAUAUAAAGGAAGAAAUCAAAAGGGCUAUGAAAGAGCUGCAGUGCAUCCCAGACGCCGUCGGACUUAGCUACGCAGAAUUGUGCAUCCAUCCAGAUUUGAACCUUCCCGAAGGUUUUAAAAUUCCGAAGUUUGACACCUUCGGAGGAGUGGGCAAUCCUAUGGCGCAUUUGAGAGCGUAUUGUGACCAGCUCGUGGGAGUUGGCAGGGAUGAGGCCUUGUUGAUGCGGCUUUUCAGCCGAAGUCUGUGUGGAGAGGCCCUCGAGUGGUUUACUUCACAUGAAACCAGGCAGUGGCCCAGUUGGAAUGCAUUGGCUAAGGACUUCAUUGACCGAUUCGCCUACAAUGUUGAAAUAGUGCCCGAUCGGUAUUCUCUAGAGAAGAUGAAGCAGAAACCAACUGAAAGCUAUAGGGAAUUUGCCUAUAGGUGGAGGAAAGAAGCGGCGAGGGUAAGGCCACCCAUGACCGAGAAAGAGAUUGUGGAAGUGUUCGUGCGGGUACAGGAGCCUGAGUACUAUGAUCGAAUCAUGUUGCUGGUCGGAGCUAAAUUCGCUGAGAUAGUCAAAGUCGGUGAGACUAUCGAAGAUGGUCUAAAAUCGGGGAAGAUAGCCCGUGUAUCUGCGUCGCCUGGGUCUUCAGGAUUGAUAAGAAAGCGAAGAGAGGAAGUUGCCGCUGUCUCGUAUGGGGGAAGAAAAACCCCUAGAAACCCGUCACAUUCCCAAGAUCGUUCCAGGCCUUCCCCAAAGUCCCACCGAUCCAACUACCCACAACCCAAUCAUCCUAAUAACCACAAUACUGUCCCCACCUAUCAGAAUGCUCAAAUUUCGUCGUACCAAAGUACACCCUCUAAUCUCCAAAAUUUUUCUCCCAUAUACCCAAAUUACCCUCAACCAUACCAGAUCCCAUCCCCUUAUCAGAAUAUUGCUCCCAACUGUGCCAACGUACAGUCGAGCUACCGACCACCUCCGCCCACUUAUCAAGUCCAAGCUCCAUUAUACCAGGACCCCCUCCCGAAUUACCAAGCUCCAAUGCCAAAUUUCCAGGCAAACCCUUAUCCCGGAGCCAAGCUCCUCGUACAAAUACCCAAAUUAUCAGCGGGUGCCUCCCCCUCGGCAAAGCGGUUAUGAUACUUCCCGUCCGAGAUUUGAAAAAAGGCCUUCAAGGAACUUUACCACACUUGCUGAAAGCUGGACCAAACUAUUUGAGAGGCUAGCCGCAGAUGGAUACAUCCACCCUGUGGGGCCCAAACCCGGGGAUGUCAACUCAAAGUUCUACAGGCCAGAUCAAAGGUGUGCUUAUCAUUCCAACAGUGUUGGACAUGACACGGAAGAUUGCAUCAACCUUAAGCACAAAAUCCAAGACCUGAUCGAUCAGGAGGUAGUUUCUCUUCAACCGGCAGUGCCAAACGUCAACACAAAUCCGUUGCCGAAUCAUGGAGGUGACAACCUUAAUAUGAUUGAAACGGAUGAAGACGGGUGUGGAACAAAGAUGAUUACCCCUAUUAUGCAUGAGGACUUGGAAAGGGCUGUCGCUUCUUUAAGCGUCAAAGAAAGGAGGAAGUUUGUUAUUCUGACACCUGCAAAGGCUGUUGCCUUGGUGCCUUCGAAAACCCUCGUUAAGCCCAAAUUUGUCAUUGAAACUGCCGUGGCCCAAGGCAUGACCAGGUCCGGAAGGUGCUACACUCCUGAUGAGCUUGCUCUCGGAGGACAGAAGAAGGACCAUGCUAAGAGGCCGAUAAGCGAGGGGGAAGCAGAAGAAUUCUGGAGAAGGAUGCAACCGAAGGACUAUUCCAUCGUCAAACAUUUAGAGAAGACUCCGGCUCAGAUCUCCGUGUGGGCCCUGCUGAUGAGCUCUCAGUCCCACAGGCAGGCCUUAAUGAAAGCUCUUGAUGAUACAUACGUACCCUCAGGUACAAGUAGUGAUAACGUGGCCGCUAUGAUUCAUCAAGUCAUUCGGGGGCACCGGAUCAGCUUUUGUGACGAUGAGUUGCCAGUCGAAGGAAGAUCCCACAACAAAGCGCUACACAUUACCGUGAUAUGUCGUGGAAAGGUUGUCAACUGUGUUUUGGUAGAUGAUGGGUCCGGUUUGAAUAUUUGCCCAUUGACGACGUUGAGGCAACUAAAUUUUGACCUUGGGAAACUGGAGCAGAAUCAGGUCAAUGUAAGGGCAUUUGAUGGUGUGCAAAGAGACACCUUGGGGGCUGUGACUUUGACCCUUCAAAUGGGCCCCGCAGAGUUCAGUGCGCAAUUCCAAGUAUUGGACAUAGACACUAGCUACAACCUUCUUUUGGGAAGGCCGUUUAUCCACAUGGCUGGAGCCGUCCCCUCUACUCUCCAUCAGAUGAUGAAACUUGUGUGGAAAAAUGAAGAGUUAGUGAUUCACGGCGAGGGAAGUCGCUCGGGCAAGCAGGUGUCGGUCAUUGAUGAGAUGCCGCAAGGCGCAGACUUUUACACGGUGGAGCUGGUGAAUGCCACCAACGAAGAUUUGGCCCUCAACUCCAUGCCAACCGUGUACAAAAUGAUAGCCACGGUGAUGCUGCAAAAUGGGUUCGAGCCAGGUUUCGGAUUGGGAAGAGAUUCCCAAGGAAUUAUUGAGCCUGUUCCGGUCCUUGCUCAGGGGUCAAAGUAUGGUUUGGGGUACAUCCCCACAGAUGAUGAUAUGAAGAUGAAGAGGAGGAGGGAUCAAGAGUUGACUAAGCCGAUCCCGCAUCUCUAUCACUCCUUUCCAGUUCGGGAGCACGCCGAGCCUGAAGACGACGGGGAAGGAAUCUGUGACCUGUUCAAGGAGAUCAAUGCCGUCAUAGAGGAGGAGGCUGAGCCAGCUGGCUUUCGCGAUGCUGAACCGGGGGAGAUGCUGAAGAAUUGGACGUCCACACCAAUCCUGAUGUCCCGGACUUUUGGGUAGAAAGGAAUUAUUUUGUGCAUGCCAAAAUCGGUGGUCGUUCGGAAGAGGCCCGAGACCCACCAUUUCUGCAUUUUCUUGAUUUUGAAUUUUGUUAUGAUUGUUUAAAGGGCGACGUGGCCUUGUGCCAUGACCCAACUUUGCAUCUUGAUUCAAUUUAAAUGAAAGCCUCCUUAUUUUGACUUUGUUUAUUCGAUUGCUUGUUAUAUUUUACUUUUCUAAUUUUGUCUGUUUAUGAUUUCAGUAACGUAAGUUACAAACCUGCCAACGUCAUGUCAUGUCAUGAGCUAAACGAACAAAAUGAGGUAAAUGACGAUGAGGCUGACGACUACGACGAAGAAAGUGGGGAACCAGACUAUGUAGUAGAAGAGUUUCGACAGUUCGAGAAUCAACAUAAACCGAAUCUGGAGGAAACAGAGACGGUAAAUUUGGGAGAUUCAGAAUGUGUCAAAGAGGUUAAGAUCAGCACUCACCUGAAUGAAACUCAGAAGGAGAGCCUGAUUCAUUUGCUUGCCGAAUACAGCGAUGUGUUUGUUUGGGAGGUCAGUGACAUGCAGGGGCUGAGUACCGAUGUCGUAUCUCAUAAGCUGCCUAUCAACCCAGGGUUCGAGCCAGUGAAGCAAAAGACUCGGAAAUUCAAGCCUGAGUUGAGUUUGAAGAUUAAGGAGGAAAUCACCAAGCAGAUAGAGUCCCGGUUGGUAGAAGUAACGCAAUAUCCCACCUGGUUGGCGAAUGUCGUUCCGGUCGCCAAGAAAGAUGGAAAAAUCAGGAUUUGCGUUGAUUACAGAGAUCUCAACAAGGCUAGUCCAAAGGAUAAUUUCCCGUUGCCAAAUAUCCAUAUUCUGAUUGAUAACUGUGCCAAACAUGAGAUGCAGUCAUUUGUGGAUUGUUACGCGGGUUAUCACCAGAUUCUGAUGGAUGGAGAAGACGCGGAGAAAACGGCCUUCAUCACACCUUGGGGGUAUAUCACUACAGGGUGAUGCCGUUUGGGCUCAAAAACGCCGGUGCCACUUACAUGAGAGCCAUGACGACUAUCUUCCACGACAUGAUUCACAAGGAAAUUGAAGUGUACGUGGACGACGUCAUAAUUAAAUCCCGCGAGAGUUCGGAUCAUUUGACACACCUGCGAAAAUUCUUUGAACGUUUGCGUAGGUACAACUUGAAGCUAAAUCCCGCCAAGUGUGCUUUUGGAGUCCCAGCUGGGAAAUUGUUAGGGUUUAUAGUCAGCAGAAGAGGUAUUGAGCUCGACCCUUCCAAGAUCAAAGCAAUUCAGGAGUUACCUCCGCCGAAGACGAGAAAAGAGGUGAUGAGCUUCUUAGGGAGGUUAAACUAUAUCAGCCGGUUUAUAGCACAAUCGACGGUGGUAUGUGAGCCUAUCUUCAAGUUGCUGAAGAAAGAUGCCCCAACUAAGUGGACUGAGGAGUGCCAGACCGCUUUCGACGCUAUCAAGAGCUACUUGUCUAACCCACCAGUAUUGGUUCCUCCGCGAGAAGGGAGUCCUUUGUUGCUAUAUUUGUCUGUCUCGGAUAACGCCUUUGGAUGUGUACUUGGUCAACACGACGAGACAGGGAAGAAGGAAAAGGCUAUCUACUACAUCAGCAAGAAGUUUACUCCGUACGAGUCUCGUUACACUUUGCUGGAAAGAACAUGCUGUGCUCUGACAUGGCUUGCCCAGAAGCUGAGGCACUAUUUGUCUUCGUAUACUACAUAUCUUAUCUCCAGGAUGGAUCCAUUGAAGUAUAUUUUCCAGAAAGCGAUGCCGACCGGGAAGCUGGCUAAAUGGCAAAUGCUGUUGAGUGAGUUUGACAUCGUGUACGUGACUCAGAAGGCAAUAAAAGCACAAGCUUUGGCUGAUCAUCUUGCGGAAAAUCCCGUUGAUGAAGAGUAUGAACCUCUCAAGACAUAUUUUCACGAUGAAGAAGUGUCAUUUGUGGGUGAAGAUAUCUCUGAAGUUUAUCCAGGUUGGAGAUUAUUCUUUGAUGGAGCGGUGAAUCACCAGGGUAAAGGUGUUGGAGCAGUCUUGGUAUCAGAAUCUGGUCAGCACUAUCCUAUGGCGGCUAAGCUACGGUUCAACUGCACAAACAACAUGGCUGAGUAUGAAGCUUGCAUUCUCGGUUUGAAAAUGGCCGUUGACAUGAAUGUUUACGAGUUACUGGUUAUUGGAGAUUCAGACCUCUUGAUCCAUCAGGUUCAAGGAGAAUGGGCUGUGAAGAACCCAAAGAUUGUACCUUAUGUACAAUAUGUGCAAAACCUGUGUAAAAGGUUUCGCAAGAUCGAGUUCAGACAUACUCCCCGAAUACAGAAUGAAUUAGCUGAUGCUCUUGCCACCAUCGCUUCAAUGAUCAAACAUCCAGAUAUUGAUUACAUCGACCCGCUGGAUAUAGAUUUGAAGGAGCAUCCAGUCCAUUGUUCACACGUGGAAUCAGAACCAGAUGGUUUGCCUUGGUAUUUCGACAUAAAGAGGUAUUUGGAGUCUGGGACAUAUCCAGAAGACGCCACAUCUAAUCAAAAGAAGUCGAUACGUCGUAUGGCUCUCAAUUUCUUUUUGAAUGGAGAAGUCCUUUACAGGAGGACUCCAGAUUUGGGUCUUUUGAGAUGCGUGGAUGCUGCUGAAGCCGUGAGGCUUAUUGAACAGAUACAUGCUGGAGUCUGUGGCACACAUAUGAACGGGCUUACCUUGGCAAGAAAAGUCCUUCGAGCCGGUUACUUCUGGAUGACUAUGGAGAACGACUGUUGCAAAUUCAUGCAAAAAUGCCAUAAAUGUCAAGUGCACGGAGAUUUGAUAAGGGUGCCACCUCACGAACUCAAUGCUAUGAGUUCACCUUGGCCAUUUGUAGCUUGGGGAAUGGAUGUCAUCGGUCCUAUAGAACCGGCCGCUUCCAAUGGACACAGAUUUAUUUUGGUUGCCAUCGAUUAUUUCACCAAAUGGGUGGAAGCAGCCUCUUACAAAUCGGUAACCAAGAAAGUGGUGGCCGACUUUGUCCGCAACAAUUUGAUCUGCCGAUUUGGAGUUCCAGAAUCCAUCAUCACUGAUAACGGUGCAAAUCUCAACAGUCAUCUGAUGAAAGAGAUAUGUGAACAAUUUAAGAUUAUCCACCGAAGGUCAACUGCUUAUCGCCCUCAAAUGAACGGAGCUGUAGAGGCCGCCAACAAGAACAUCAAGAAGAUUCUGAGGAAAAUGAUUGACAAGCAGCGGGGUUGGCAUGAAAUGUUGCCAUAUGCUCUACUGGGUUAUCGAACGACGGUCAGAACAUCAACUGGGGCUACUCCAUACUUGCUAGUAUACGGAACAGAAGCAGUCGUACCUGUCGAAGUCGAGAUACCGUCACUGAGGAUCAUCCAAGAAGCUGAGCUAAGUAAUGCUGAGUGGGUUAGCAAACGGAUUGAUCAACUAGCCUUGAUUGAUGAAAAGAGGAUGGUUGCUGUUUGUCAUGGCCAGUUGUAUAGACAAAGAAUGACUCGCGCUUUUCACAAAAGAGUAAGAGCCAGAAAUUUUGAAGUUGGUCAGUUGGUUCUUAAGCGUAUUUUUCCUCAUCAAGACGAGUACAAAGGAAAGUUCGCACCAAACUGGCAAGGUCCUUACAUGGUCCGCAAAGUACUAUCUGGAGGUGCUUUAGUCUUGUCAGAGAUGGAUGGCGCUGUGUGGCCCAAACCUAUCAACUCAGAUGCUGUCAAGAGAUAUUACGCGUGAAGUUCGUUUUGCAUUUCCCAUCAUUUACUUGUAAUCUUCUGUUUGCUUGUAUUUGUUCGAACUUGAAUUCUUAUCCCUCUUGUAACGAACUACGUCUGACCUGAAUUCUCGAGAAUGAGAUACGUAGGCGGCCUAUGUCGGCUUCGGUCACCCCAUUUACCCCCUUUACUAUUUCUUUGUACCUGAACUACGUUCGACCUGAAUUCUCAAGAAUGAGAUACGUAGGCGGCCUUUGUCGGCUUCGGUCGGUUUCUUUGUAAAUUUUAUUCUUGUUAACCUUUAAGGGGAACUACGUUUGACCUGAUUCCUGCCUCAACGGGAUACGUAGGCGCCACAAGGGCUCGGUCAUACCUCUCGUAAGAUUUCUAUUUCCCCCUUCUACAAUAGAAACUGGGACAAAAUUUUUGAGAGGGACUCAAAAAUUCUCCAAAAGGAACCUUCUCCUCAGCGGAUCAAACUAAAGACAUUUCGAGUUUGCGACUGGGACAGAAUUUUUGAGAAGAUCUCAAAAAUUCCGAGAUUUGUUCGGUUACAAUGGAAAGAUGAACAAGAUACUAAACUGGGACAGAAAUUUUGAGGAUGGCCUCAAAAUUUCGUCAUGGGACUUCCCCACAAGUCCGGAAUGCCUCUGAAAUUCAUUCGACAAGCGUCGGACUCAAAGAAGCUCGUUAAGCCUGACAUGACAUGACUUGGCAUUGACUUUUUCGAGAUACUAUUUCUUAAAAAAUUUCUUGCUUCUCUUAAAAAUUUCCCUUUUAUAUUUCAUCUGUUUUGGCAUAAGAUAUUUUCUUAUCUAUCAAGAGUCGGGAAAUCGAGAAAUCAACCGAGGACGUCAAGACAAGGAGCAAACAAUCGAAGGGAUCGACACAGAUCAGUAUGUUUAAAACUGACAAUUUUUCUGUGGAUGCAGGUUUAUAGCUUCACUUCGAAAUCGGCCGAAUUCUUCCGACUGAUGAAUACGGAGAAGGAGAAAACUAUCUCCAAAGCCGGUGAUUUUAUUGAAAGCAAGAAGCAUUUCAUAUCUUUAUGCCAAGAUGCUUGUGAAUGUGUUUGUUUAUUUCAAGCCAUUCCCCAAUACAUGAAAUUUACAAAGUGCCUGGCCUGAUUCAAAGGUAGAUCAAAAGGAAUCUUAGCGAAGAUUUCACGAUUUCUAUAGAAGACGCUAUUUGCAUCGCGUUAUCAAAGCAAGAUGAUUAUUGUCGAUCAAGACAAUGCAUUACCUCAGAAGAGACAGCUAUGCAAUUAUUAUUUUUAUCAUUAUCGAUCAAGUCGAUAUAUUAUUUGGAGGUCGUCUUGCCGUUACUAUUCACGGGGGUAAUAUAAAUAAUUAUGUACGACGAGAAGAUUUCAUGCCUCGUCGGAAUUUAUACAUCGCGAGAAGAAUUUAUGCCUCGCUGGAAUUCAUGCAUCGCGGAAUCAUGCAUCGCGGAAAUCAUGCAUCGCGAGUCAAUAAUCAUGCAUGACGAGAAGAUUUCAUGCCUCGUCGAAAUUUAUACAUCGCGAGAAGAAUUUAUGCCUCGCUGGAAUUCAUGCAUCGCGGAAUCAUGCAUCGCGGAAUCAUGCAUCGCGGAAAUCAUGCAUCGCGAGUCAAUGAUCAUGCAUGACGAGAAGAUUUCAUGCCUCGUCGAAAUUUAUACAUCGCGAGAAGAAUUUAUGCCUCGCUGGAAUUCAUGCAUCGCGGAAUCAUGCAACACGGAAAUCAUGCAUCGCGAGUCAAUAAUCAUGCAUGACGAGAAGAUUUCAUGCCUCGUCGAAAUUUAUACAUCGCGAGAAGAAUUUAUGCCUCGCUGGAAUUCAUGCAUCGCGGAAUCAUGCAUCGCGGAAAUCAUGCAUCGCGAGUCAAUGAUCAUGCAUGACGAGAAGAUUUCAUGCCUCGUCGAAAUUUAUACAUCGCGAGAAGAAUUUAUGCCUCGCUGGAAUUCAUGCAUCGCGGAAUCAUGCAUCGCGGAAAUCAUGCAUCGCGAGUCAAUAAUCAUGCAUGAUGAGAAGAUUUCAUGCCUCGUCAAAAUUUAUACAUCGCGAGAAGAAUUUAUGCCUCGCUGGAAUUCAUGCAUCGCGGAAUCAUGCAUCGCGGAAAUCAUGCAUCGCGAGUCAAUAAUCAUGCAUGACGAGAAGAUUUCAUGCCUCGUCGAAAUUUAUACAUCGCGAGAAGAAUUUAUGCCUCGCUGGAAUUCAUGCAUCGCGGAAUCAUGCAUCGCGGAAAUCAUGCAUCGCGAGUCAAUGAUCAUGCAUGACGAGAAGAUUUCAUGCCUCGUCGAAAUUUAUACAUCGCGAGAAGAAUUUAUGCCUCGCUGGAAUUCAUGCAUCGCGGGAUCAUGCAUCGCGGAAAUCAUGCAUCGCGAGUCAAUAAUCAUGCAUGACGAGAAGAUUUCAUGCCUCGUCGAAAUUUAUACAUCGCGAGAAGAAUUUAUGCCUCACUGGAAUCAUGCAUCGCGAAAAUCAUGCAUCGCGAGUCAAUAAUCAUGCAUGACGAGAAGAUUUCAUGCCUCGUCGAAAUUUAUACAUCGCGAGAAGAAUUUAUGCCUCGCUGGAAUUCAUGCAUCGCGGAAUCAUGCAUCGCGGAAAUCAUGCAUCGCGAGUCAAUAAUUAUGCACGACGAGAAGAUUUCAUGCCUCGUCAAAAUUUAUGCACGACGAGAAGAAUUCAUGCCUCGUCAAAAUUUGCACAUCGCAAGAAGAUUUUAUUCUUCGCUGAAAGUUAUGCAUCGCGAGAAGAUUCAUAUCUCGCGGGAAUUUACGUAUCGCGGGAAGAUAUUCAUGGCCCGCAAGAGGACGUACUUGGAUAAAGAAAGAGCAAUACUCAUCCAUUGGCCUCGACUGCAUUCUGUCAUUUCUUAUAAAAAUAAACAUCAUGGAGAGCAUCGAAGAUGACAACAAAAGAAGCAUCAAUGUCGCAUCAGCAUUUAUUUAUUUAUUUCAACAUCAAGUAUGGAAUACAUUGAAGAUGAUAUUGCAAAAUACAAGGCAUAAGCUUUAUUUGCUGGACGUCAGACCGAUCGAGUCGACGUCGAACAUGGAAGAGAACAAUGAAGUGUCGACAUGGUAAAAGACACUGUCUCCCAUCCUAAUUGCAUUUUAAGCUGACGAGUUUUAUCUCAGUCUUUGUCGAGAGCAUCCAAAAGGAUGAAUUCUCCAAAAAUCACAGGUGCGGACGACAUCAAAAAGGAUGCAGCACAACGUGGAACUUUUUCUUAGCAGCGAACUGGGACAUAGUCCAAAGAGGAAUGUAAAACUCUUAGGACGCGAGCAGAGGAGCGACUUCCACUACAAUCGAACCACCCUCUCGAGGCUUACGGGUUUUCUCUAGUUCUGUCAGUUUCUGUCUCGCUUUCGAAAGUUUUGUUUUACCGGAAGCAAGUUUCCAAUCUGAGUGACAAUACGCCAAAAGAGUUGGAAAUUAUGUCCGUGUAAGUUCUUAAUUAUGGGUGUGAAGCGCGCCACAUUCAUGGCUAAGAGGUUACAAGCCUCUUUUUUUCAUACUCGUUUAAUGUGUCACUCGUCCAAAACCGAAGGUUAGCUAGCAUAAUAGUUUUCCUUUUCCAACGAUCGAGUCGAACUACACACAGCCUGAUUCCGAAGGUUUAAGGGUAUGUAGGCGGAUUCAAUGUUGAAAACUCGGCUGUAUUCCAACAUUCGCUCUCGAAUUCUAUUCUCGAGCAUUUCGAUACCUUCAUAAUUCGGUGUCGAGGUGGCUUUUGAUUCUUUGAAAUCGUGCGGUAAAUCAAGCUUAUCGAACUACAAGUGGCCUGAAUUCUCAUAUAGCUUGAGAUAUGUAGGAGACCCGUUUGCAAGGGUUCGGCCAUGAUUCCUAAACUCUUUGUCAAAUCCUUCUUCUUAAAAGCGAAUGGAGGUCGGUCAAAAUUGGUUUGGUCAAUUUCAUUUUCCUCGAGUUGCUUGCAUCAACCAAAGUAAAAUGAGGGACAGUUGUUGACACCCAAUUUUGACCCACGUCGGUAGAAAUUAAUUAUCGAGCUUCCUAAAUUUUCCAAAUAAUUCAGAUUAAUUAGUUUUAUAAUUUUGCAAAAAAUAUAACGAUUUAACGUUUACAUAGUGGUGUAUAUAGCCGGUAUAUCUUGUGUAUAUUCUAAACCAACCCAACUUCCCCCCAUCAGCCCACACCCCUCCUCUUCCAAGCCAGGCCCAAGUUCCCUUCAGGCCCAAACGUUCCCAAUUCUCCCACUUCUCUUCCUAAAAUCGGCCCAACACCCAAAAUUCCCCUCAACCCAACCCAAUUCAAACCCAACAUUCCCCUCAACCCAACCCAAUUCAAACCCAACCACCCAAAAACCACCCAAAAACCCGACCCAACACCUGACCCAACCCCAAUAACCCGUUUUUCCCCCCCUUUCUUCUUCAGCCCCAUUCAAUCAACAGAAACCCAGAACAACAAACGAAACCCGGAAAACCCCCGCGUCUUCCCCACGCUCUCUCGCUCUCUCCCUCAUCUCCCCACGCUCUCGUCUCCCUCACGCGUCUCUUCCCCUACGCAACACAGCCAAUAAUUCCCAGAAAGAAACGCGACAAACUCCCCUGAAAUCGCGCGAUUCUCAGAUCGAAAAUCCCCAGAAAACAGACGCGACCUCUCCUCAUCGCGUCUCUCCCUCACGUCCUCUCUCCUCUCCUUCCCUCUCUCCCGCGUCUCCCCCACGCUCGCUCUCUCCUUCCCCUCUCGACAGAGACCCAUACCCUGCCGCUGUCGAGCAGGUCUGCAACACGCAAGUCGUCGCUGUCGAGUAGGUCUGCGAGGUGUCAAUUUCAUCCUCUCCAACACGCCUGGCCAUGUGGGUUUUGACCCAAAGGGAUUUCGAUUUUGAGUUCAAAAAAUGGGCGAAAAAUCGUAUCACCGACCCUACAUAAACCCCUCCCAUCUUCAUAAAAGAGGAGGGUUUUUUUUCACGAAAGAGGGGGAUUUUUUCAUCGAAAUUCGAAAAAAGUAGAACUUGGGUUGGACAUUUGGUCAAAAUUAAGGCUGAAUCUUUGGUCGAAACUUUUGGAAGCAAUUUGAGGUUGGAGAUUUCUGGACGAGAAGAAACUGUUUCAUCGAGUGUCGUUGCGACGUUCUUGUUCGAGCGAGCGAAGCAGAGGGUGAUUUCGAGUUCGUGAUAGUGGUGCUCCGCCUGCUCGCUGUCCCUGUUUCGCUGCACUUAAAGAGGUAACACCCAUCUUGACCCUCGACUCUUAGUUGUAUUUGCUGUUUGUACGUUAGUGUUUAGGUUGGUCCUAGCUGCUGUGAAUUUGUUGUAUUGCAGAAGUUGUUUGAAAUUUGUGGUUUUGUCUUGUCUUCGCUUGAUUUUGUCGCAACUUCCUGAAUUUGAUAAAGUUUUAAAGGGAACGAACGGUGUGUUUGGGGUAUUUCGAUCCGCCGAGUCUGUUUCUGCUCGUUUCCUGCUUCUUCCUCCUGUUUGUAUUCGUACAUGAAUUAGUCUAAGGGAAUCCUUCGUUAUUCUGCUUAUAAUGAGUUGUAGAUGUUACCCGUUUGGUCGAAGUGAAAUCCAAUUUCACUUCAAACUCUUCUGUCAUCAUCUUUAUUGUUAUUUCUUCUUUUGUUUUUCUUUCACUUUGAUGUCAAAAUGAUGUGAUGAUGGGUUCGACAGAAGCGAAGUAGUGCAUUGAAUGAUAAUAGUGAUGUCUUAUUUUGGAGUUUUGUCCUUUUUCUUUGUUGUUAGUUCGACAAGUCAAAUUUUAAAUUCAAAGAUUGCCAUAUACAUGCCUUGUUCUGUGAAAUUGAAAGUUCAUUGUUUGGUUGGGUAAGUAAAAUCGCCUCAAUAUAGUUAUUUACCUUGGGUCGACUCGCAUUUGUCAUUACUUUUCUCUUCUGUCGUCUCUUUCAUGUUGCGCUAGUCUGACCUUUCUUGUUACAUGUUGUCGUGUGUCUAUUGAUCCGAUUAGAUACUAUCCAUGGAUAUGCAUUUUCUAUUAAGUUAGUUUGUUUUCUUGUAUAUGUGCCCGUUGAAUCGAAUAUUAAUUCCUUUUGUUUAUUGUGUGGCAUGUAAAAUCCGUUUGAGUUCACCACGAACUCUCCUUCUCCGUAUCUCGAGAGAGUCGUAAAGACUCAUAGUCUUUUACCAAGCAAGACAACCUUAAGAGAGGCGUACAAGUCAUGAAGUUGGAAGGAGAAUCCAAAGUGGAUUAGAAGACGUUUCUUUAUUUUAUUUCCGUAUUUUAUUUUGUAAUGGGCAUAAGCCCUUGUCAUUUUCCUUUCCUUAUUCCUCUUAUAUUUUAUCUUGUAAUGUUUAGACUAGGACAGGUGGCAAAAUGGGUCGAAACACCCAAAAACAGGUGGGUCCAAAACUCGGUCAAGGUGAACAGUACCCGAGUUUGGACCCAAAAAUCUCUCUCUCUCUCUCUCUCCUUAUUACUUGCUUAUGUGCGUUGUUUAAAGUAUCGUUAGUGUUAGGACUAGAAAAAUCCAAAUCUCCUUCGAAACGCCUUUCUAUUUUAUCAAGCUAAAACUAAGUCUUAAAAUAUUGGACGUUUCAAAUUCACUAGUUCGUUUAGAGUUUAAAAUUUAAAAAGUUUAACUUUAAAAGAAUCUCAAAAACAAUAAGUAUUUCAACUUUUAGAUUUGUCCAAAUAAAACUCUAAUAAAGGUUCAACUUCAAAUUCGCAAAAGGUUAAAAAGUAGUCAAAUAAGUUAAUCGUCGGAAAACCGUAUUUAACGGAGUGUCUUAGGUGCCUUACACCUUCCUAAGACACUAAUAAGAAUCCCGAACCCUUAAAAAAUGUUUCAAAACAAUUGUUCUGUUUAGGUUGUUUAGAAACAAAGUUUUCUUGAUUUUUCUUAAAAAUUAAGUGGCGACUCCUAAAAGUCGAAAAACAAACUCUUUUCGAAAAUCACCCCCUUUUUUCGGUAAAACAAUUACACCAAGAACAACAAUAAUUCAGUGUAAUUUCACGUACCGACCUAAACCCUAAUAGUGUGUAAAGUUAGAUCCUUUGUUUGGAAUAUUCUAGGAACAAAAAAAAGCAUUUAAAAAAAUAAAUAAACAAGAAGAAUCCAACUCUAAAGCAAUGACUUUUCAAUACCCUUUGAGGGUGUCUAAUUUUUUUUCUAUAAAUAAGUGAAAUACUCAUCAUAAUUUUUAACACAACAAAAAAAAACACACAUUUUUUUUUUAAUUAGCUCUUUGAUGGCUGGUCUUCAAUACAAAUUUUUUCCAACAGAUUUUUUCUUCCCAAUUCAAAAAACAGUUAGUGGAGAAAACACAUCAAAGCAAAAUCUCUUAAUCAAGAUUAGAAAUAAUGAUGAGUCCUUAAUUGAGGAAUCAAAGGGCAAAAUUGUCAUUAACAACAACAAGAAGAAUCUCAAAGCUAUUUCUUCAUCUUCAUUAGCUUUGAUUUCUGUGCCAAAACAGAAGAAAGAUCAAGAUUAAUCAACUGAUUAUUCUUUUAAUCAUAUAGUAAUUAAUUGUAUGAUUAAGAAUAAUCUUGUUCUCUUUGCUAUCUUUUCUCCUAUUUUUUUUUCUUUGAGUUUAAUAAAUAUUUAGGAGGCUUUUGGGAAAAGUUAUUAGAUUUUGUUUGAUGUAUUAUAUAAGUUUGCAAUUCAAUAAGACAGGAACAAUAGUUUCUAUGAUCAUAUCUAUUUUUUCAUGGCUUGUCAAUUUAUUUAUUUAUUUAUUUGCUAUUUUUUGGUAGAAUUAUUGGAGUUUUACUCAUUUGAAUGAUGUGAAAAUAUUACUAAAAAGAAAAUGGAAGUAGCAUGAAUGAUGAAUAAAGUAGAUAUCUAUAUCCAAGAAUUCUGAUGAUUUCUCACAUAUUUCUCAAUAGUUCGAGAUUGAUUUAUAGUGUAAAUAUUGAUCGUUAUAUCGGUCAAAUUAUAGAUAUAAUAAUAUCGGUCAAAUUAUAGAUAUAAUAAUAUCGUGAAAAUGCUGCACGAACUUAUUUUAUCCAAAUUACUUAUUUUUUCUACAUUCAUAUAUUCUACUAUCUUAUUUAUAAAUCGAUUGGUUCAACUAUAGUAGUUGAAAUUACUUCUGUUCAUCAAACUUUUUAUUUACCUAUGUAUUGUUGUGGUUAGCAAAUCGUUUUGUAUUUGUUAAGAAGUCCUAAUAGGCGAAUUUUACGUAUUCAAAGUAAAGUAGAGUAAAAAAAAAAAACCCCAAUUUUAAACUCUUAUUAAAAAUAAAAAUAAUUGUUUAAACUAGAAAUUAACAAAAUUGCUCAAUUUCGAUGGUCUUGAGUCAAAUUUGACUAUUAUUUUCUAAUUUAAUUUAACAUGUUUUUGGUCAAUUAUGGUGGCUUUGCAACCACAAUAAUAUUUUUCAAAAUAAAUAAAAUAUAUAUAGAGAGAGAGUCAUGCACACAUGUCGUAUAUUUUGAAAUUAGUUUGUCAUAUUUCAUGAGAAUUAGUUUGAUUAUAUUUUAAAAUUAAAUUAAAUUUAUUUAAUAUAUGUCAAUAAGGUGAUAAAAAUUAUAUCUUAAAACAUGGUAAGAAGGUUUGCUUAUAUUAUAUCGUUAAUUGACUUUUAAGGCUUUAGUAGAUUAUUUUUAUUUUACAUGUUCUGUAAUUAAUCAUAAAUAAAAAUGAUGAUGAAAAGGAAUUGUUCAUAUAGUAAAGAUUAUUCAUUUUCAAAGUCCUAAUUAAAAAUUAUAAAUUUGAAUUAUCAAAAAAAAAGCUCGAAAGGGGAAAAAAGUAGUGGAUUUAAUUGAUUUCCACAUGCUCUUUUAUUGUCCUUUGAAGACUUCAACAACCAAUUUUACUUGAAACUAACUUCUCAUUAUUAAUUAUUAUUAUUAUUAUGCACCUUUUGUAUUGUCUACUUUAAUAUUUUUAGUACUCGCGUUUAGCAUAUGCCUCAUCAAGGAGCUUUAACAAUCUUUUGGUAUUAGACUAUUAUUAAUAUUUUAUCCGUAAGAUCGAUAAAUAUAUCUAAUCAAUUUAGUCUAACUAAAUAGUUUUUUGUUUAAGCUUAGUAUGUGCGUUGGAAGAUUAUUAAUAAUGUAAAAAGAUUAAUUUAUCAAGAUUCUGAAAUAGUUGUUCAAAAAUUUUAAACCCGUAAAAUUUGAGUUUCAACUCCAUUUAUGUAGGAACAAAUAUUAGAUUCGAACUUCACAUUUUGUAGAAGGAUAAUAUAUUUGAACAAUUUUUUAAAGGAGGGACAAAUUCUAAAUGAUUUUUUUUUUAAAAAAAAAGUGUAAAUCAACCAAAUGAUAAAGAAAAAAAUUAAAAUUUGAUCUUAUGGAGUAUGAAGAUGGAUUAUAUAUAUAUUUUUUUCGUUGAUAAAUUUCUAAUUUAAAUACUUUUGAAAAUAAAUAAAUAAAUAAAUAGACAUAUAAAAAUGUAAUAUUAGCUAAGCCUUGACAUGGCCCAACUAAUUCAUUGGACUUAAUUCUUGGCCCAGUUCCUAACUAGCUCAUUGGUCUUGGGCCUCCUGGCCCAUAACUAAUCAUCAAAGCCCAUCUAAAGAAACAAUCAAUAUAUUGUCUUUUUCUCAUGACUUUCACCUUUUUUUCGGUUUAUCGGAAAUAAUCUUCCUAUCGCACUCUAAUAAGGUAGGAGUAAAACUGAUAUAUAUUUUAUUUUCACCAAAAUUACUCUAAUGUUAUACUAGAUAUAUUAUCACAUGUGGAGCCAGGUGGGGAUUCUUGGGUUCGGACGAACCCAGUAGCUUCCGUCUCUGUAUAUUAUUAUUGUUUCUUUUUACUCCCAUCACGAUAAAUUCCUCAGUCUCGUAUUUUUUAAGAUUCUUUGAUGUUUUAGCUUUCUUCCUCAAAUGAAAAUAAAGUAAACAUAUUAUACUCAACUUCACAAGUCAUUUAACAAUAGUGAUAUCAUUUAAAAGGCAUAGCAUACAAAUAUGAUCCUUAAUUUGGCGUCAGUCGAUAACUAUGAUCCUUAAUUUUAAAUGUACACAAAUAAAUACUUAAACUUUUAUAAAAUUAAAACAAGUAAACAUGAUACAUAUCAAACAUUAUGUAGAACACAAAAUUUUCAUAUUAAAUAUCACGUAAAAUGAAUGUAUCAAUUUAAAUAAAUAAUAUGAUAUAGAAAGGUUUAACUAUCUUCGACCAAAAUUAUUCAUUCAUUUGGAAUUUCUACGAAUAUUUAGGUGGGUGGGCAUACCGACCUACUCAUCCAUGUGCACGACGCGGAUUACAGGGAAUUUUAGCUAAACAAUGGGUCCCACUUAACCAUUUAUUUGAAUACAUCAUCAUAACUACUCCAAUAAUUCUCCACCGUCCGAUCAAAACACUCUCAUCAAUCAACCGUUCACUAUAAAACAAUGUUGGCCCUACACACAAUUAUGAAAAAAAAUCAAUCACCGUUUUAAUGGUCCACACAAGAAGUUUCAUACCAAGUCAAUUACUAACACCUGUAUACACAAUUCUACUUUACCGGCUGCUUGUUUGUACUCGUUCGGACUCGAAAAAAAUAUUAAAAAUAUCUUUAAAUUUGAUGUGAGUUGCUAAUUUCGUUUUAUAACUGAUGAAACAUUAGAACUACCCCUCACACUUUUGUAGGAGUGCGAGAUUAUUAAUAAACUAAAGAAGUGUUUGAGCAAGAUCAGAGUAUAUUCAAAAAAGUACUUUUAAAACUGUCAAAAUAGUUUGAUAAUAAAACUACUAAUUCACGUCAAAUCUAGAAAUGUUUCCAAUACCUGAUUACUCAUGUAUAUCAGUUCUAAAUAAUGUAGGAAAUUACCGUUUCUUAAUCACAAAUCUCGAGUUUGAAUUUGAAUAUAAAAAAAUUCUAAAUUUCCCUAAAAUGAGGCUCUACACGACCGUAAAUUCGAAUUAGUUAAACUUCUAGCUAGUAUCGAAGAAAAGAAAGGAAGUAUAUCUACUAGUUGGGAAAAUUAACCGGUUUAUGGAAAAUUGACCGGAGCUGCCGGUUUGGUAUUAAAAAUAUCUGUUUGGCUAUAAAAGAAUAUUUUAAUUAGAAUUAUUUAACUCUUUCUCGAAGGUCAAUCAGUGGACUGGUUCGGUAUGUCUAACCUCAAGUUCGGUUCUAAACCUAAUAGGCUCGGUAUUCCUGCCUAUAAAUACAAGACCUUAACAGCAGAUAAGAUUUCAUACGUGUACGAGUUCGUCUCUGUAGCUGAAGAACAAAAAAUCUGUUUAAAGGUAUUGUAAAAACGCCAUUAUAGCUUCAUUCAAGCUUUCAAGUAUUUUUCUCGCUUCUAAUCUGUCGAUCUGUUGAAUCCUAUCUAGUUUUAUAUAUAUAUAUAUAUAUAUAUAUAUAUAUAUAUAUAUAUAUAUAUAUAUUUUAUGUAUAUGUUGUUAGCUUCUGUUUUUAUGAGUUAUCUAUGCUGAUGCAUGAAAAUGUUUGAAAAUUGUGAUUAAUUGUGAUAUAUGUUGUUUGUUGAGUAGUUUUAGAUUGGUUUCUGAUGUCAAUUUGAGUCAAUAUCUUGUACUUUUUGUUGAUGAAAUAGCGAAGACUAUGGUUUUGAGUAGAUCUGAUGAGGAUCGAGGAGUUUUUCGAGAAAGUGAGGUUAAUUGUUAUUGGAUUAUCUGAGAGAGGAUGGGUGGAGCAUGUUUGGCCGUGGAAAGAUGAGUUUUUUGAUUUGUAUGACUGUUAUGAGUUAGGGUUUGGAGUAGCGAGUUGAAAUUGCAGUAGAAGAAGGCCAGUAAUUGUGGUUAUGUUGCUUGGACUCUUUUAAAAAUGGUGAUGGUUGCGUGUCUGAUUGUCCAAAAGUAGUGUUUGGGUUUUUUGAAGGAUCCGACACGGUGUGCCAUCAUUUUUGGAGAGUCCGAGCAACAUAGAUGUGAAGUAUUUACCUCAUGUCUGUUGCGCGAUGGUUUUGACUGUGUAGUAAUAGGUGCUAGAUAGAAUCAUUGCUCAGAGUUUAGAAAGGAUACUGCUGAAGUUUGGUUAGAGCUAUAUCCACCUAAGACGAGAUAAUUCGGGUUUUCUAAGUCGCAUGUUGAUUGAGAAUGUUAAUUUUCCUUUUCUGUAGUGUUCAGUUACCAUACUUUGAUAAUAUUUGUUCAUGAAUUGGUUUAUUAGGCCAGGAAAAACUUCUACUUUAGUUCUGUGGGUGAUUUUAAUAUUGAAGUUGAAACUCGACGUACUAAAUAUGGUCAUAUUCGGUAUGUCAUGCACUAACGUGUUUUUUGUUUUAUCGAAAAACUUUA